GCAAGGAGGCCCUGCCCGGUCGUGCCAGGUUCUUCCCCUUCCAGCCCGGCAACCUGCCCAUUGCCUUGUCCAGAAGAGGUUGGAGGUCAACCCUUCUUAGCCGCCUGUCAUGUAGUGGAAUACCCACGUAUCGACGGGGAACGAGGCCAGCUUGGCCGAGAAGGCCGAGAGGAUGGCCGGGAGAGCAAUGUCCUGGCAGCGAAUGGGAAACAAAUCGAUCUUGCUGACAUUUGUGAUGAGGCCCGAUGCAUCCCCAAAACAGGCAAGGAUCUGAAUGAUGGCAUCGAUUUCUUUUUUGACUGGGUUAGCAAAGAUGCCAGCAUCGUCAGCAUAGAGAGAAACCCUGCAGGAGGCCAACCGCACCAUGAUGGGCUUGAGGAUCCCGGCUUGGGAAGCUGCCCGGAGCAUAAGUUGCAGAGGAUCGAUGGCCAGAAUGAAGAGCAUAGGCGACAACGAGUCACCCUGGCGAAGGCCUUUUCCAUGCGCGAAUGGGGUUCCUGGCUCCCCAUUUAACAGCACCCUAGAGGAAGAUGAAGCGAUGGUCAUGCAAAUUUGGUCCCGCCAGCGCUGUCCAAAUCCCAACUGUUGUAGCUGAAAGUGCAGUCAUGCCCUUAAUCGAGUUUUGGUGUUAAUGACAACACAUACAUAGGAAACUAAUCUUAUUUGUUGAGUGUAUCUCAGGAUGGCUUUUAAAGUACUCUUAGUAGAUCGGGAAUUAUGUGCCAAGGUGGCUUGAGAAGAUCGGGACUUAUAUGUCAAGAAGGCUCGGGAUUGAGAAACAAGAUGAUGUAGCCUAUCCUUUAAUUUACUAUUCUUGAGUAUAGUGAUCCCGCACUAUUAAGAGGGGAUCACGGGUUUUGCGAUGAACUUGCUCAAACUACAUCUCUACUUCUCUGCUCAUNGGGAAUUAUGUGCCAAGGUGGCUUGAGAAGAUCGGGACUUAUAUGUCAAGAAGGCUCGGGAUUGAGAAACAAGAUGAUGUAGCCUAUCCUUUAAUUUACUAUUCUUGAGUAUAGAGAUCGCGCACUAUUAAGAGGGGAUCACGGGUUUUGCGAUGAACUUGCUCAAACUACAUCUCUACUUCUCUGCUCAUGCCAUUUCUCCUUUACUCUUGUUUGAUUCCAAAACAUAACCAAAGCCUCGGACAUCCGGCUCCCUCCGGACGUCCGAGGGCCGGACGCCCGACCACUUCGGAAAACCGGAGCCUUAUACCAGAGUCAAAAUCUCAGACAUCCGGCUUCCUCCGGGCAUCCGAGGGCCGGACGCCCGACCACUUCGGAAAACCGGAGCCCUAUACCAGAGUCAAAAACCUCGGACUUCCGGCUUCCUCCGGUCGUUCGAGGGCCGUACGUUUGACCUCUUUCGGAAAUCCGUUGCCCUUGAACAGAGCUGAACUCUCGGACAUCCGACCAUCUCUUCGGACGUCCGGUCCCUGUUCGACUACACAGUGGCCAAAUGAUAUGAACACUCCUUCGGUCGUCCGACGCCUGUCAGACGUCCGGAAAACGUCGAACGUCCGACCACUGUCAGACUUAAGUGACCCCAACGGUUACUUUAGUCUCCCCACUAUAUAUACCCCCCUCCCACUUUGUGAGAGGGGGUCCAACACAGCAAGAACACUUACAAGAACACUUUCUUCCUCACUCACUCUUGCCUACACCCAAACUUAGAUCCCAAAAGCAUUUGUGAGCCCGUUUGAGUGUUGUUCCAAUCAAAAGAUAGAUCGUCUCCUUCUCCUCCUCUCCACCAAAGCGAUUUGUGAUUUGAGCAAGUUUUGAGCAAUCCCCGUGAUCUUGUUACUCUUGGAGGUUGGAGACUCCUAGUCAGUAGGAGUCUUCGGAGAGGAAUCAAACCUUUGUGAUUACCCCUCGAAAAGUUUGUGAGGGUUUGGAAGCCACCUCAAGGCUUUCCACUAGUGGUUGAGAAACGCCUUUGUGUUGUUGUCUCAAAGGGAGAAUAGGGUUAGCCUUCGUGGCGUUGGUGUGCCUUCGUGGUAACAUCCGCCCCUCUAACGGUGACGUAGCUUCCCUCCAAGGAAGUGAACACCGGGAUACAUCCUCGUCUCUCUUGGAGUUUUGGUUAUCCCUAACCCUAACUCUCUACUUGUGUUAAUCCUUAUUACGUACUUGCAUUUGAUUAUAGUUUACCGGUUGCCUUACUUUACUCUAAAUAGCUUACUCUUUGUCUUUGCAAUUAUUAGGCUCACUCUCAUAUUUCGCACCAUUGCCUAAAAUUGCUAAGUAACUAUUAAAAUUUGGAACUGUACCUAUUCACCCCCUGAUGGGGUCAUAGUCCCAGGGUAGGGUCAUAGGCCUGCCCUAUAGGUCCUACCCAAGGACUACCCUUCUUAAGGGACAAGGCCCUUAGUCAGUUCCGUCUGAAUUAAGAACUUCCCAUCAUCCAGUCCGUAAUGAUUCCCCCCAUCAUCCAGUCGGAGAUGAGCAUUCGGAGCGUAUUAAACUGCCGACUGGAUUCCACUCUAUAUAUCAUAACCUCCCUGGAGGGCAACGGUUGUACGUUUUCAUACACCAUUAUUAGCAUUUAAGGCAUACGUUACCUGUAACGUAGGCAUUUAUUCGCCACUACUCUACCCCUGUGCACCGGACCGUUGUGAAAGGCAGCGUACUCUAUAUAAGCCGCCCCUCCCCACUGGUGCAGGGGUUAGCAUUUCACUAUACCCCAUAUUUCACUCGACAUUAAGCUCCCAAGAGCACUGAGACGUAGGGCUUUUACCUCCACCGUAGAGGGGCUGAACUCAUACAACCUCGCCGUAGCUAAGGCUCUGCCCAUCCUUUCGUACCCUACACAUCUACUGUCAGACUUAUACCCACGACAGUUGGCGCCCACUAUGGGGCAGGCGUCUAAGCGACUUCUGGCGAGUUUGCGACUACAUCUUUUCAUCAUGUCGUCUGGUGGAGAUUUGUGCAUGGGUCAUGAGAUCCUCUUCGGCGCACUCUCCUUCAUCGUCGAUGAUUCGGCAUGGCUACGGGAUGCACCUCCCGACGUCGAGGUGCUCCCCAAUCGCGGGGCUACGCACUUCCGUGCCGGCGCCCGCGGCAUCCUUCUUCUCCAGCAGUCGGCACCGGUGUCGAUCUUCGCCCCCGUCACGCGCCGCAACAAGCGGUCUUGCCGUCCGCGGCUCCAGCGUUGGGUGCGACACGCCCAGGCGCGCUAGAACGCGUCCUCUCAAGUGGCGGUCCUCGAGUCGGUUGUGGUUGCGCCGUCGUCCCAGCGCUCGGACUCAGUUCCGACUGAGUUGCCUUCCCAGUACUUGGGUCGCGGGCCUACAGCCGAAGUUCACAUGGCCAAUUCCCAUGAAAGUCCCCGCCAAACUAGUCGGAACGAGCACGAGGUCGGCGAGUCAUCCGGCGCUCGCCGUCCGCCCCGCCGUUCUGCCAGUCGACGUACUCGUCAGAGCAACGUGGAGGUGUUCCGCACACCCGUCCUCAACCUGGCUGCCGCCGCCAAGAUAGCCGAUUCCCUCCAGCCGACUGAUUCAGAGGCUGGCAGAGGGAUCAAGCAGAUCCGUGCCCUGCUGCACACGGCGCAGCAGCAGAAUUCGGCGGUCUCCCAGUCGCACAACAGGAUCCAAAACAGUUAUGUUCAUGCGAUCACGCAUCGGCCAGUUUUCAGGCCCGAUUCUCAUCAGCGACACACAGGAGGCAGCCGUUCCAUGAAUCACGAAGAUCGUCGCCGUUCACGCACCCCUCCACGGGGUGGGCCCUACGGGCCCUGACAUCAUGAUGAUCGGCGUUCGGUCGGUGACACUUAUGAUCCAAGUCCCGACACAAGAGGGUACAUCGCCCAGAGGAAGGUCGACAGGAGCCGAGCCCACCGUGAUGGUCACGAUAGAGACCGUCCGAGUGGAAGUAGGACCAUCGUCUCUGGCCCCGAGUGUUUCAGUCGGGCCAUCCGUUCGGCUGACAUCCCUCCCAACUUCCGAUUGGCGACAGGAAUCAGCAAGUUUACAGGAGAAUCCAAGCCAGAAACGUGGUUGGACGACUACCGAGUGGCGUUCCAGAUCGGUGGUGGAGAUGACCAGGUCGCCAUGAAACACCUCCCCCUGAUGCUCGAUGGUUCGGCUCGAGCAUGGUUGAACCAGUUGGCUCCUUCAAGCAUCUACAGCUAGGCAGAUCUGGCCCGAGUCUUCAUCAGGACCUUUGAGGGCACGUGCAAAUGCCCUGCUGGUCUCGUGAAGCUCCAGCACUGCGUCCAGAAGCAGAAUGAGCCCCUGCGCGAUUUCAUCCAGCGUUGGGCAACCCUCUACCACACGAUGGAGAACGUCACAGAGCACCAAGCAGUCUGCGCCUUCAAGGCAGGCGUGCGGUACAGAGAUCUGUACCUGAAGUUCGGUCGGACAGGCGACAUCUCCAUGAGCAAGAUGAUGGAGAUAGCGGCACGCUAUGCAAAUGGCGAAGCAGAGAACCGCAUUCGUAGCGGCAAGCAUAAAGCAGUCGCCGAUGGAGAUGGGAACAACACUCAGAAGCAGAAGCAGAAAGCUCCGUCCACUCCGCAGGCAGAUGCUGCAGCCAUUACCAAUGCCAAGUUCAAGGGCAAGGGGAAGGCUCAGUCCACCCCCAAGAAGAAGCAGUUCGAAAACCACAUCCUGGAUCAGCCAUGUCCAAUCCACACGAAGAUGGACAAAGAAGGCAACGCCAUAUUCCCGAAGCAUACCACUCGGCAAUGUCGCCUCCUGAUCCAAGGGUUCGGCGAAGGGCAGCCGAGUGAAAAGGACAAUGAACAGGAUGGUGAGGACAAGGAGGAUCAGUUCCCCCAAGUCCAUGCAACACUGAUUAUUUUUGCUGACGUGGAAAGCAAGAGUCGACUGAAGCUGGUGAACAGGGAGGUGAACAUGGCCACCCCAACCAACCCCACGUUCCUCAAAUGGUCUCAGACUGCGAUCACCUUUGACCAGUCGGAUCAUCCAGCACACGUGCCCAACCCAGGGAGCCAGGCUCUGGUCGUCGACCCCGUGGUGGAAGGAGUUCGACUGCGCAAAGUCCUCAUGGACGGCGGCAGCGGCUUGAACAUCAUGUAUGCCGACACUCUCAAAGGGAUGGGCAUUCCGAUGUCCAAACUUAGCGAGAGCAGCAUGCAGUUCCACAGAGUCGUCCCUGGACGAAAGGCCAAGUCACUCGGCCAGAUCGCGUUGGACGUCGUUUUCGGCUUCGACAAGAACUUCCGCAAGGAAAAGCUGACAUUCGAGGUGGUGGACUUCCAGAGUGUAUACCACGCGAUUCUGGGCCGUCCGGCGUAUGCGCGUUUCAUGGCCCGUCCAUGUUACGUGUACCUGAAGCUGAAGAUGCCAGGUCCCAAAGGUGUGAUCACUAUCACAGGCAAUCGGCAGCGGGCCGAGGAGUGUGUGCAGCAGGGGUUGAGGAUCGCCGAUCAGCAAAUGGCCAUCCUCGAGCUGGACGAGUACAAGAAGACAGUCGACCCCGCUGACUUGAUGCGUUCGAAGAAGCCAACUUCGGAGUCCGCAUUCCAGUCGGCGGGAGACACGAAGAAGGUCAGCAUCCCCCCGACAGACGACGCCGCUGCCCCGACGAACAUCUCCACCACCCUUGAUCCAAAAUAGGAAGCCGAGCUCAUCCAAUUCCUCCGUGAGAACUGGGACAUUUUCGCAUGUAAGCCCGCUGACAUGCCAGGUGUACCCAGGGAGUUAGCUGAGCACCGAUUGCAUGUGGAUCCUGCUGCUCGGCCUGUCCGAGAACGCCUGCGUCGGUCCGCCGCGCGCAAGAGGAAGGCAAUCGGAGAGGAAGUGGCUAAACUUUUGGAAGCCAACUUCAUUCGCGAGGUACACCACUCCGAGUGGCUCGCCAAUGUUGUCAUGGUGCCCAAGAAGGACAAGUCUCUCCGAAUGUGCAUCGACUUCAAGCAUCUGAAUAAGGUCUGCCCGAAAGACCAUUUCCCGCUCCCCCUCAUCGAUCAAAUUGUCGAUUCGACUGCGGGUUGCGAGCAUUUGUCAUUCCUUGAUGCCUACUCGGGCUAUCAUCAGAUCCGUCUGUAUGGCCCCGAUGAAUUAAAAACAGCCUUCAUCACCCCAUUCGGGUGCUUCUGCUACAUCACUAUGCCAUUCGGUUUGAAGAAUGCAGGAGCAACUUUUAUGCGCAUGAUCCAAAAAUGUCUCCUUGACCAGAUCGGUCGGAAUGUGGAAGCGUAUAUGGAUGAUAUCGUAGUCAAGUCACGCAAAGGUUCCGGCCUGCUGACUGACUUGGCAGAAACAUUCGCUAACCUUCGUAGGUACGAUAUCAAGCUCAACCCUGCCAAGUGUUCAUUCGGUGUUCCCAGCAGAAAGUUACUCGGUUUCUUUGUUUCCGAACGAGGGAUCGAUGUCAACCCCGAAAAGAUCGGGACCAUCGUCCGAAUGGAGCGGCCGGUCAGAAUACACAAUGUUCAAAGGCUCACAGGUUGCCUAGCGGCUUUGAGCAGGUUUAUCAGUCGACUCGGCGAGAAAGCGCUACCUCUGUACCGACUCAUGAAGAAAUCAGAUACUUUAGAGUGGACAGACGAAGCCCAAAUUGCAUUCGACGACCUCAAAGCCCUGCUUUCCACCCAGCCGGUUCUUACUACUCCGCUCAGUAAAGAACCCCUUCUUCUGUACAUCGCGGCUACAAAUCAAGUCGUCAGCACUGUUCUCACAGUCGAACGCGAAGAAGAAGGCAAGGCAUACAAGGUUCAGCGGCCAGUGUACUAUGUCUCCGAAGUCCUGACUCCUUCCAAGCAGAGGUAUCCCCAUUAUCAAAAGCUUAUUUACGGGAUUUACAUGACUGCAAAGAAGGUGGCUCAUUAUUUCCAAGACCAUUCGGUGACCGUCGUUUCUGAUGCUCCGUUGUCGGAAAUCCUCCACAAUCGGGACGCAUCAGGCCGAGUGGCGAAGUGGGCAAUGGAGAUGUUAUACUGCGACAUCAAGUUCGAGGCCAAGAAAGCUAUAAAGUCUCAAGCUCUGGCUGACUUCAUAGCAGAAUGGGUAGAACAACAGCAACCGACCCACAUCUACUCGGCUCAUUGGACAAUGUUCUUCGAUGGGUCCAAGAUGUUGAAUGGCUCCGGCGCUGGCGUUGUGAUCAUAUCGCCAAAAGGUGACAAACUCAAGUAUGUGUUGCAGAUACAUUUCGAUUCCUCCAACAACGAGGCAGAGUAUGAAGCUCUCCUUUAUGGAUUGUGCAUGGCCAUCACACUCGGCGUCCGUCGCCUGAUGGUCUAUGGAGAUUCAUAUUUGGUGGUUGAUCAAGUGAUGAAGGAGUGGGACGUAAGGAACCCCACCAUGACUACAUACUGCAACGCAGUGAGGAAGCUCGAGAAAAAGUUUGAAGGUCUGGAACUGCACCAUGUUCCGCGACUGAAAAACCAAGCAGCUGAUGAGUUGGCGAAACUUGGAUCCACUCGGAGACCAGUCCCGAGUGAUGUCUGCCUCGAGCACCUACACCUUCCCUAAGUUAAAGAAGAUCCCUUCACAGAGGAACCAGUACAACCAAAGAGCUCGACAGAUCCGACUGAAGUCGAGGUCCCCGCUGUGGUUGAUCUGAUCAUGGAGAUUCUUGCUAUCAUCCCCGAUUGGACUAUGUCGUUCAUUGCGUACAUCCUAAGGCGAGAAUUACCAGAAGAUGAGGUCCAAGCCAGACAGAUCGUCUGCAGGUCGAAGUCGUUCACCGUCAUUGAUGGCCAGUUGUACAAAGAAAGUGUUUCAGGCGUCCUUCAAUGAUGCAUCUCCCCUGAGGAGGGGCAGUUAAUCCUGGAAGAAAUUCAUUCGGGAACCUGCGGUCAUCAUGCCUCCUCAAGAGCAAUCGUCGCCAAAGCAUUCAGAGUUGGUUUCUUCUGGUUGCAGGCGAAUGAAAUGGCGAAGGAUAUGGUCGACCGAUGCGAAGGCUGUCAGUUCUACUCCAUGGUUAAACUCUUUCAGUCUAGUUUCUACCUCAUCUGAUGAGUACCUUGAUGCGGAGGAUCACUAUGAGGACAAUGACUUAGAUCAUCCUAUGUUUGCCAAAAUAAACAAAUUUGUGUGCUCUCUUAAAGGAAAGAAGCUCACUAUGUUUCGCAUACUUAUGGAAAUGGUGAGUAAGCACACCAAUACCAUCAAGGAACUCGAAACCCUCGUCACUGAGUAGAAGGAAAGGAAUGAAAUCCUUGAGCAGAAAGUCUUGUAUGAGGAAGCACAAAAUGAUGCAUUAUGCUCAAAAGUUGGUGAAAACCUUGAUAAACAUGCUAACGAUCUUGCCUCCUUGAAAAAGGCUGAAUCUGUGUGCAAAGAGUUAUUAAAUGAUAAAAACAGACUUGUGAAUUCUCAUGCUUCUCUUUCUAAGGCCUGUGAGCACCUAUCCUUGUCUCUCAAGGACAAGGAAGAGAAACUCACUGUUCUUACAAAGAGCUUUGAGGCACUCAAGGUUACUUACCUUGACACUCUAGCUAAGGCUUACUCCUCACCUAUUAUUAAUGUUGAUACCUGCACUGCUAACUCUAGUAGUGAACUGGCAUCUAUUCUUGAGGAAAACUGUUCGCUAAAGGCACAGCUAGAUAGAGGUCUCAUGACAUGUGCACAAGGACAAAAGACUCUCAAUGAGAUCUGAAGUCAACGCAAUGAGGUCUUUGCCAAGGAAGGGCUUGGGUUUAAUCCAAGCAUCGCCAAGAAAAGUGUAUCUCCUCUCAAGUGCACCACCCCGCUAACAUUUGUACGAGAGGGACACAAGGAGAAAGGUAAGGUUGUGAGUGGGUCGGCCACUAGGGGUUUGCCCACUCUCAACAGGACAACAGAGUUCAUGCCUCCAUCCUAUGUACUUCGCAAAUCAAAGGAAAGAGAGGUUUAUGCUAAAUUCGUUGGUCCCUGUAAUGCAUUCCGGUUUUAUGCUAUUUGGGUCCCUAAGACUCUUGUAACUAAUGUGAGAGGCCCCAUGACGAAAUGGGCACCUCAAACCAAGUCUUAAUUCGUGUACAUGAUGUUUUCUCCGGAGGAGUCAAAUGGGUGAUCGACAGUGGAUGCACCAAUCAUAUGACCAGAGAUAGUAACUUGCCCUAUGACUUCAUGCAAGCCAUUCCACCAUACAUGAGCAUUAUAUUCGGAGGAGGGUCGAAAGGACAGGUAAUUGGGUUGGGCAAGGUGGCAAUCACUAAUGACAUGUCUCUUGCAAAUGUCAUGCUUGUCCAAUCUCUUCAAUAUCAUUUGCUUUCAGUUUGCCAAUUGGCUUCCCUUGGUUAUGACACACUAUUUGGACUAACGGAUGUGAAAGUCUUUAAGAGAUACACUCUCGAAGUGGCCGUUGUUGGAGAGUUGGAUGGCAACCUUUACACGGUUGAUUUCUCGAAAGAGAGCACUUUCCAUACAACUUGUCUGAUGGCCAAGGCUGACAUGGGAUGGCUAUGGCAUCGCCGGCUCGCCCAUGUCGGCAUGGGAAAUCUUCAAAGUCUCUUAAAAGGCAAUCAAAUCCUUGGACUAACCAAUGUGUCUUUUAAGAAAGAUCGUGUGUCCAGUGCAUGCAUAGCUGGGAAGCAACAUCAAUCAAAACACCCACCCAAGAAUAUUGUAUCCACCUCAAGGCCUUUAGAGCUCCUUCAUGUGGAUCUGGUUGGGCCUCCUUCAUGGGAUAGUCUUGGUGGGAAAAAGUAUGGACUAGUCAUUGUUGAUGAUUACUCAAGAUACACAUGGGUAUUCUUUCUCAAGUCCAAGGAUGAGACGAAGAUCACCUUCAUUGAUUUUGCCAAACAAGUCCAGCGCAAGUUUGACAAGGCCAUCAAGGCAAUAAGAAGUGAUAAUGGCUCCGAGUUCAAGAAUUACACUCUAGAAGAAUUUCUUAGUGAUGAGGGAAUUGAACAUCAGUACUCUGCACCUUACACCCCUCAGCAAAAUGGUGUAGCAGAGAGGAAGAAUCUGACACUUGUGGAAAUGGCAAGGUCCAUGUUAGACGAAUACAAGUCACCGCAUAGUUUUUGGGCUGAGGUUGUCAACACAGCAUGUCAUGCAUCAAACCGGCUUUUCCUUCGACCAAUAUUGGAAAAUACUCCAUAUGAGCUCCUAACCGGGAACAAGCCCAAUGCCAAGUACUUUCGUGUAUUUGGAUGCAAGUGUUUCAUCCUCAACAAACGGGACCGGUUAGGAAAAUUUCAAUCCAAAACACCUGAAGGGAUUUUUGUUGGCUAUGGAUCAAACUCUCACGCCUACAGAGUCUACAACAAAUCCAAUGGAUGUGUUAUAGAAACCUGUGAUGUGAUGUUUGAUGAAUUUAACCGCUCCCAUGGGGAGCAAGUUGACCUAAGUGAUGCAGGUGAAGAAGAUUCCUCGCAAGAUAUCUUGAACAUGGGUGUAGGUGCACUUCUUCCCAUGGAAUAAGAACCUCAUGAUGAUGACUUUCUCAUCCUCAGGACAGUUCACUGCACGUACGUCCACAAGAUACUAGCACACAUAUCAUGUCAGUUGUUCAGGAUCAAGUGGGAGAACAUGUCUCUCACCCUGAUCACACUCAAGAACAAGUUGACCUUCAAGAGCAAGACCAAAGUAUGGAUAUUGUUGAUGAUGAACCUCAACAGGUGCAACGCGAAGAGGAAUAUCUUCCACCGCACGUUAAUGAUCCAUGUGUUGAGGACGAUGAUGAUGGAAACGAAGUCAAACCUCGUGAAACCAUGACCUCCAUCAUGCCACGUGUGGCCGGUCGUGUUGAUGUUGAUCAAAUCCUCACCGGCGUGUCGGAAGGUAGAGUGACUCGUAAACAUUUAACAAACUUUUGUGCUCACUUUUCGUUUGUCUCUAGUACUGUGCCACACAGGGUUCAUGAUGCAUUGUGUGACAAUGACUGGCUCCUUGCUAUGCAAGAAGAGUUAAACAGUUUUACACGCAACGAAGUAUGGUUAUUGGUAAAACGACCAACUGAGGAACACAAUGUCAUUGGAACUAAAUGGAUCUUCAAGAACAAGGAAGAUGAGAAUGGGACUGUCCUCCGCAACAAGGCAAGGUUAGUAGCACAGGGGUACUCCCAAGUUGAAGGUUUGGACUUUGGUGAGACUUUCGCCCCUGUUGCUCGUCUUGAAUCCAUUCGCAUUCUAUUGGCCUAUGCUGCUUUCAUUGGUUUUACUUUGCAUCAAAUGGAUGUGAAAAGUGCUUUCCUUAACGGUCCUCUACAAGAAGAGGUAUAUGUAUCACAACCACCUGGGUUUGUUGACCCCAAUUACAAAGACCAUGUGUACAAACUUCACAAGGCUCUGUAUGGCCUCAAACAAGCACCCCGUGCUUGGUACGAUCAUCUUAAGAAGUUCUUACUCGAUGAUGGCUUUGUGAGAGGGGUGAUCGAUCCCACUCUUUUUACUAAGAGGGAAAACGGUGAUUUGAUCUUAUGCCAAAUCUAUGUGGAUGACAUCAUUUUUGGUUCUCCUAACAUCCAUUUAUGCAAGAAGUUUGCGGCCUCCAUGACCAAGACCUUUGAGAUGUCACUCAAUACGGACUUGAAGUUCUUUCUUGGGUUUCAAAUACAACAAUUUCAAGAAGGAAUUUUCUUGUCUCAAACUAAAUACCUCAAGGACAUUCUAGAAAAAAUUAAUAUGACAAAUGCUAAACCAAUGAAGAUGCCCAUGGCCACAGAUGUUGUUCUAAAUGAAGGCACCAACGGUAUUCCUUUUGACCCAUCUACUUACCGCUCUAUGAUUGGUUCGUUGCUUUAUCUUUGUGCAUCUAGACCGGACAUCAUGUUAAGUGUAGGCAUAUGUGCUAGAUUCCAAGCUUCCCCUAGGGAAAGCCAUCAUACGGCGGUUAAGCAUAUUCUUAGAUACCUUGUUCACACCCCAAAGUUAGGCCUAUGGCACCCUAAGGAUGCAAAGUUCGAUCUCAUUGGGUACUCCGAUGCGGAUUGGGCUGGUGACAAAGUGGGACGGAAAUCCACUUCCGGUGCAUGUCAGUUUCUUGGAUGUUCCUUGGUAAGUUGGUCCUUGAAAAAGCAGAAUUGUGUUUCUCUCUCCACGGCCGAGGCCGAAUAUAUUGCAGCCGCAAGCUGUGCAACCCAACUGCUAUGGAUGAGGCAAACCCUAAAGGAUUAUGGCAUCACCUAUUGACACGUGCCUCUUCUCUGUGAUGAUGAAAGUGCCAUCAAGAUCUCCGAGAACCCCAUUGAUCACCCUCGCACAAAACACAUUAAUAUUAGGUAUCAUUUCUUGAGAGACCAUGUGCAAAAGGGUGACAUUGAUAUUGCUCAUGUGGUUACCGACAUGCAGCUCGCUGACAUCUUCACCAAGCCACUAUGCGUAGCAAGAUUCUGUCAACUUAGGCGUGAACUUGGUAUCUUGGAGCUUGAUAACUGUCACGCCCAAGAUGCGACCCUAUCCUCAAUUUGGCACGAAGGCCUCGUCAGGGAUAGAAGCGCAUCUCGUCAUGUCGCAAGAAUGGAUACCGUUACAAGUACAUGUACUGAAAAGAAGAGAGAUAUAUAUAGAAUUUGGCUUACACUCGCCACGAGCUACAUCAGAGUCACAGUAGUACAAAUACAUAAUCAUCAUGAAGAAGAGCAGGGUCUGACUACGGACGAAAACAAAAGAGAAAAGAAGAACGACGUCCAUCCUUGCUAUCCCAGGCUGCCGGCCUGGAAACCAUCCUAGACCGAUGAAGAAGAAGAAGANAGAAGAAGCAACUCCAAAUGAACAAUCAACGCGCUCGCAUCGAGUAACCUUUACCUGUACCUGCAAUUGGUGUUGUAGUAAUCUGUGAGCCACAGGGGACUCAGCAAUCUCAUUUCCAAAGGUACCAAGACUAGCAAAGCUUAAUGGGUGAGGCAUGGUUAAGUGGUCAGGUUGCAGCAGCGACUAAGCAUAUAUUUGGUGGCUAACUUACGAGUACAAUAAUAAAGAGGGGGAGAUCUAUGCAUAACGGACGUGACUACUCAUGAUCAAAUGAAUGAUCGUGAACACCUACCUACGUCAGGCAUAACCCCACCAUGUCCUCGAUCGGAGAAAGUACUCACGAAAGAGACAGUCACGGUUACGCACACAGUUGGCAUAUUUUAAUUAAGUUAACUUCAAGUUAUCUAGAACCAGUGUUAAACAAGUUUCCACGUUACCACAUAACCGCGGGCACGGCUUUCCGAAAAAUUUAACCCUGCAGGGGUGCUCCAACUAGUCCAUCACAAAUUACCACAAGCCGCAUAGAAAUCCUCGAUCACGACACUCGCNNNNNNNNNNNNNNNNNNNNNNNNNNNNNNNNNNNNNNNNNNNNNNNNNNNNNNNNNNNNNNNNNNNNNNNNNNNNNNNNNNNNNNNNNNNNNNNNNNNNGUAUCUCUGGGCCCACUCGGUAGAACAUCAUCAUGAGCUCAAUGUGACUAAGGAGUUAGUCACACGAUGACGUGCUACGGAACGAGUAAAGAGACUUACUGGUAACGAGAUUGAACAAGGUAUAGGUAUACCGACGAUCGAAUCUCGGGCAAGUUCUAUACCGACAGACAAAGGGAAUCGUAUACGGGAUUGAUUGAAUCCUUGACAUCGUGGUUCAUCCGAUGAGAUCAUCGUGGAGCAAGUGGGAGCCACCAUGGGUAUCCAGACCCCGCUGAUGGUUAUUGGCCAGAGAGGUGUCUCGCUCAUGUAUGCCUGUCUCCCGAACCCGUAGGGUCUACACACUUAAGGUUCGAUGACGCUAGGGUUAUAGGGAAUUGUUAUACGAGGUUACUGAAAGUUGUUCGGAGUCCCGGAUGAGAUCCCGGACGUCACGGGGAGCUCCGUAAUGAUCCGGAGGUAAAGAUUGAUAUAUAGGACGGAUGGUUUUGGACACCGGAAGUGUUUCGGGCGUCACCGGUAAUGUACCGGGACCACCGGAGGUGGCCCCGGGGACCACCGAAGGGGGGCAACGACCCCGGGAGGCUAGAUGGCCUAAGUGGGGAAGGGAACCAGCCCCUAGGUGGGCUGGUGCGCCCCCCACCCAGCCCAUGCGCAUCAGAGAAAGGGGGAAGGGGGAAACCCUAGGCGCAGUUGAGGCCCAAGGCCCACCUAGGGUGCGCCCCCCCUUUCCCUGCCCUGGCCGCCGCCCCCCUCCCAUCUGGUGGCUGCCGCACCACCUAGGUGGGGAACCCUAGGGGUGGCGCACCCCCUCCCCCUCCUCCUAUAAAUAUAGAGGGGUUUUGUCCAUUGGAGAACACACUUUGCCCUCUCUCUCGGCGCAGCCCUGCUCUUCUUCCNGCGCGGGAGACGUCACCGGGCUGCACGUGUGUUGAACGCGGAGGUGCCGUUGUUCGGCACUAGAUCGGAAUCGCUGCGAGUACGACUCCAUCAACCGUGUUCUAGCAACGCUUCCGCUUAGCGAUCUUCAAAGGUAUGAAGAUGCUCUUACCCCUCUUUCGUUGCUGGUCUCUCCAUAGGAAGAUCUGAAUAUGCGUAGGAAAAUUUUGAAUUUAUGCUACGUUACCCAACAGUGGCAUCCAACCAGGUUUUCUAUGCGUAGAUUCUAUGCACGAGUAGAACACAAAAGUUGUGGGCGAUGAUUUGUCAAUUUGCUUGCCGCUACUAGUCUUAUUCUUUUCCGGCGGUAUUGUGGUAUGAAGCGGCCCGGACCGACUUUACACGUACACUUACGUGAGACUGGUUCCACCGACAGACAUGCACAUCGUGCAUAAAGGUGGCUAGCGGGUGUCUCUCUCUCCUACUCUAGUCGGAUUGGAUUUGAUGAAAAGGGUCCUUAUGAAGGGUAAAUAGCUUUGGCAUAUAAUCGUUGUGGCUGUCACGUAGGUAAGAAGGCGUUCUUGCUAGAAACCCAAAUCAGCCACGUAAAACUUGCAACAACAAUUAGAGGACGUCUAACUUGUUUUUGCAGGGUUUGACAUGUGAUGUGAUAUGGCCAAAGUUGUGAUGUUGCAUGUAUAAUGUAUGAGAUGAUCAUGUUAUUGUAAUAGGUUUCACGACUUGCAUGUCGAUGAGUAUGACAACCGGCAGGAGCCAUAGGAGUUGUCUUAAUUUAUUGUAUGAGAUGCAACGCCAUGUGCUUACUACUUUUACUUCAUUGCUAACGGUUAGCUAUAGUAGUAGUGAUAGUAGUAGUUGGCGUGACGACUUCACGGAGACACGAUGAUGGAGAUCAUGAUGAUGGAGAUCAUGGUGUCACGCCGGUGACGAUGAUGAUCAUGCGAUGCCUGAAGAUGGAGAUCGAAAGAGCAAAGAUGAUAAUGGCCAUAUCAUGUCACUAUAUGAUUGCAUUGUGAUGUUUAUCAUGUUUUACAUCUUAUUGCUUAGAACGACGGUAGCAUAAUAAGAUGAUCCCUCUUGAAAUUUCGAGAACGUAUUCCCCUAAGUGUGCACCAUUGCGAAGGUUCGUUGUCUCGAAGCACCACGUGAUGAUCGGGUGUGAUAGAAUCUAAGGUUCGCAUACAACGGGUGUAAGCCAGAUUUACACAGGCGAAACACCUAGGUUGACUCGACGAGCUUAGCAUGUACAGACAUGACCUCGAAUACAAGAGACCGAAAGGUCGAACAUGAUUCGUAUGGUUGAAUACGAUCAGCAUGGAGUUGCUCACCAUGGUGACUAGUCCGUCUCACGUGAUGAUCGGACACGGGUUAGUCAACAUGGAUCAUGUAUCACUUAGAUGACUAGAGGGAUGUCGAUUUAAGUGGGAGUUCAUAUUUAAUUUGAUUAAAUGAACUUAAUUGUCAUGAACUUAGUCUAAAAGUUGUCUUUAUAAAUAUUGUAGAUGUCCAACGUCAACCUCAAUUUCAACGCAUUCCUAGAGAAAAACAAGCUGAAAGAUGAUGGUAGCAACUAUGCGGACUGGGUUNNNNNNNNNNNNNNNNNNNNNNNNNNNNNNNNNNNNNNNNNNNNNNNNNNNNNNNNNNNNNNNNNNNNNNNNNNNNNNNNNNNNNNNNNNNNNNNNNNNNCGAGACACCUCUCUGGCCAAUAACCAUCAGCGGGGUCUGGAUACCCAUGGUGGCUCCCACUUGCUCCACGAUGAUCUCAUCGGAUGAACCACGAUGUCAAGGAUUCAAUCAAUCCCGUAUACGAUUCCCUUUGUCUGUCGGUAUAGAACUUGCCCGAGAUUCGAUCGUCGGUAUACCUAUACCUUGUUCAAUCUCGUUACCAGUAAGUCUCUUUACUCGUUCCGUAGCACGUCAUCGUGUGACUAACUCCUUAGUCACAUUGAGCUCAUGAUGAUGUUCUACCGAGUGGGCCCAGAGAUACCUCUCCGUCACACGGAGUGACAAAUCCCGAUCUCGAUUCGUACCAACCCAAUAGAUACUUUCGGAGGUACCCGUAGUGCACCUUUAUAGUCACCCAGUUACGUUGUGACGUUUGAUACACUUAAAGCACUCCUACGGUAUCCGAGAGUUGCACAAUCUCAUGGUCGAAGGAAAAGAUACUUGACAUUAGAAAAUCAUUAGCAUACGAACAAUACGAUCUAGUGCUAGGCUUAGGAUUGGGUCUUGUCCAUCACAUCAUUCUCCCAAUGAUGUGAUCCCAUUAUCAAUGACAUCUAAUGCCCAUGAUCAGGAAACCAUGAUCAUCUAUUGAAUAACGAGCUAGCCAACUAGAGGCUUGCUAGGGACACAUUGUGAUCUAUUUAUUCACACAUGUAUUACUGUUUCCUGUUAAUACAAUUAUAGCAUGAACAAUAGACGAUUAUCAUGAACGAGGAAAUAUGAUAAUAACCAUUUUAUUAUUGCCUCUAGGGCAUAUUUCCAACACCUAUUGCAUAUGGUGGGUGGGUCUAUGCAGUCUCUUCGUCAGUUGUCCCCUCCACCACUCCUUUCUUCUUCCUCAUCUCUCCGCCGCCAUAACUCAUUUUCUUCUCCAUCAUCUCCGACGUUCCCUCUCUUUCCUGCUGCAGCACCUUUGGCAUACGCACUUGGCAAGUGUGCCGCGACGAGACCCCUCUCCAGCAGACGCCCAGCUCUAGGAACUCGAACUGCGUGUUGUAGGUGCUGCAAGCAUAGGUUGCCGAGUUGGAACGCUAGCCACCCCGUGUCGCGAACUGGUUACACCGGUGAGCUGAAAAUGGCGCACGCGACCUGCCGUGCUACAACCAUUGAUACAAUAUGUUGGAACCCGCCGACAGAGGAGCUGCAACCGGCCAAGCCAAGAGCUGGAACCGACGCAUGUUGUGCUGGGCAUCGCCACACGUGCCAUGUUAGAACCAUGUUCUGGCGAUGCUAGAACCGUGUUCCAGAGAUGUUGGAACCAUGUUCUAGCAAUGUUGGAACCGUGUUUUAGCAAUGCUGGAAUGGGGGUCGGUGAUGCUUAAAAGCUUUAGGACAGCGGGCAAAAUGCUGGAACCAUUACCGACAAAAGUUGCAAUAGUCGUCAGAUUUUGCUACCACCGGCAAAGGAUUCUGCUACAUGCUUCAUGGCAGAGCUGCAACCCUGCGACGGCGAUGACUUUUUUUCCACAGUCGUAGUUAUUUUUCGCUACCACUGGUGAUGUAUUUUGCCACAUCCAUUAAAUGUCGUUUAGUAUUGGCCGUCCAUAAUCCCGUGCAACUAGUGCCGACGCCGAGUGCGACCGCGGUUGUGCAUCGUGGUGUUGCAUAAUGAUGCAUCAACGGCUGGAGUUGCAGCCAGUUAGGGCGGAGUUGCAAGCGAAAUUGAUGAGCGGGGAAGUUCUUCGACAAGCAGCGGAGGGCUGCGAGUCGUCGGAGUGUGAGCGCCGACGACCGACGUCUGUUUGCCCUCGCGGAGCUGCACACGGAGGCGUAGGAGCGUGGGGUAGGGUGUGGGGAUUUUUUUCUUUGAUAUGCGAUGGGAGAUAGAGGACGAGUCAAGGAUGAAGGAGAGAGCUAGAUCGGAUGACUGAUCUAUGCCAGAUCGAACGGUUGGGGUUCGAGUGGCCGAAACUUUCAGCUAGUACUGCCCUUUCUCUAUCUAUUCUAACACACCAUGAAGCUUGGUGGAGAGUUCAUCCACUACCUCUAUAAAAGCACGAAGAGGCAGAUCCAACUCACCAUCUCACCUGCCUGAUUACGUCAUCAAUCGUCAAGAAUUAUCAUUAAAAAAUUCAUCCCAGCUAACGAAACCAAUUGAAGCCAAUCCCAUCGGCGAGGAAACCCACCCACACUUCCACGCCCGGGAACCGCUCACAAAAUCACCUCGCUUGAGAACUCAUCCAGGCCUAGCUCNNNNNNNNNNNNNNNNNNNNNNNNNNNNNNNNNNNNNNNNNNNNNNNNNNNNNNNNNNAGCCGCCGUCGCUGCCUCGCGCAACAACCACAACCAUUGCCCUCGCCUCACAUAGCGACGCGUCGCCCGUCGCUCGGCCAACCCGGACAAGCAGGACAAGGGCGCAGGGCAAGGAAAGGACAUGGGCGAUCGCAAUGAACCCUCCUUUCAUGGUAUUUAUCAUUUUUAUGCGAUGAACGCAACCUGUAGGUGCCUCCGUUCAUGAUUUGCAUAUCCAGAAUUUGUUGUCUGGCCAUCUAAGAGAAUUAGCUCACUACGCUAAGGAAUUAGGACAAUUCAGUUACAUGAUCUGACUGUUUAUAGAGGGAUCUAAAAGACUGAUGAUAUGCAAAUAUGAUCUCAAGUCUCAAAGUGCAUGUUGUUCUAUGUUCUUGGGCAUGUACAAAGGCUUAGAUAAACACCACCAAGGUUGAGGACGAAAAAGAUUGCACACACUAACCAUUAUUAUCUUCUUGUGAUAAUUUUAGGCUUGUACGAGGAAACUUGAAGAGGCAAUUUUAGUUGGUGGUGUGCUUUAAUAUUUCAUAUUGUUGUUCGUGUGUUCCUGUUGGAAAUAUGCCCUAGAGGCAAUAAUAAAGUGGUUAUUAUUAUAUUUCCUUGUUCAUGAUAAUUUUCUAUUGUUCAUGCUACAAUUGUAUUAACUGGAAACAGUAAUACAUGUGUGAAUAUAUAGACCACACCAAGUCCCUAGUGAGCCUCUAGUUGACUAGCUCGUUGAUCAAAGAUGGUUAAUGUUUCCUAACCAUAGACAAGUGUUCUCACUUGAGUUCUAGAAUGGUCUGGAAACGAAGAUUGAUAUAUAGGAAGUUGGUAGUUCGUAGUAUCAUUUCCCUAGACCAUGAGAUUGUGCAACUCCCGGAUACCGUAGGAGUGCUUUGGGUGUAUCAAGAAUCACAACGUAACUGGGUGAUUAUAAUGGUGCACUACAGGUAUCUCUGGAAGUGUAUGUUGGGUGGGCACGAAUCGAGAUUGGGAUUUGUCACUCCGUAUGAAGGAGAGGUAUCUCUGGGCCCACUGAGUAAUACAUCAUCCUAUUGAGCUCAGUGUGACUAAGGAGUUAGUCACAGGAUCAUGUGUUACGGAACGAGUAAAAAAACUUGCCUCUAACGAUAUUGAACAAGGUAUGGGGAUACCGACGAUCGGAUUUCGGGCAAGUUAUAUACCGAUAGACAAAGGGAAUUGCAUACGGGAUUGAUUGAAUCCCCGACAUCGUGGUUCAUCCGAUGAGAUCAUCGUGGAACAUGUGGGAGCCAACAUGGAUAUCCAGAUCCCGCUAUUGGUUAUUGACCGGGGAGGUGUCUCGGUCAUGUCUGCAUGGUUCCCGAACUCGUAGGGUCUACACACUUAAGGUUCGAUGACGCUAGAGUUGUAAUGAGAAUAAUAUGUGGUUAUCAAAAGUUGUUCGGAGCCCCGGAUGAGAUCCCAGACGUCCCGAGGAGCUCCGGAAUGGUCAGUAGGUAAAGAUUCAUAUAUAGGAAGUGGAGAUUAGAUCACAGGAAAUGUUUCGAGGAUCAUCGGUAUUGUACCGGGACUACCGGAAGGGUUACGGGGGUUCACCAGCCCCGGAGAGCCACGUGGGCCAAAAGUGGAAGGAAACCAACCCCUAGAUGGGCUGGUGCGUCACCCACCAAGGCCCAAGGAACCUAGGGCUAGCAACCCUAGGGCGUGGAGGUGGCCCACCUCCAACUUGGGAGGCAAGCCACCUCCCACCUGGCCACCGCCCCCUGCUUGGACCGCCGCCCCUCCUAGGGUUACCUAGGGUGGCCGGCCUGCCUUUCCCCUCCCCUAUAUAUACCCAAGGGUUUUGGGGCUGCAACACACAACUUUUCUCUCCCUCUUGGUGCAACCCUACCCUCUCUCUUUCUCCUCCUCCGCGGUGCUUGGCGAAGCCGUGCCGGAGAACCACAUAGCUACACCGCCACCACGCCGACGUGCUGUCGAAGCUCUCCAUCAACUUCCCCUCUCCCCUUGCUGGUUCAAGGUAGAGGAGACAUCAUCGGUUUGCACGUGUGUUGAACGCGGAGGCGUCGUUGUUCGGCGCUUUGGAUCACAUCUACCGCGAUUUGAAUCGCUAUGAGUACGACUCCAUCACCCGCAUUCCUAGUAACGCUUCCGCUUAGCAAUCUUCAAAGGUAUGAAGAUGCUCUACCCCUUGCUCGUUGCUAGCAUCUCCUAGAUUGAUCUUGCUGUUUCGUUGCUAGCAUCUCCUAGAUUGAUCUUGCCGCGCCCGAAGAUGGAGAUCAAAGGCGCAAGAUGAUAAUGGCCAUAUCAUGUCACUAUAUGAUUUGCAUGUGAUGUUUAUCAUGUUGUUCAUCUUAUUGCUUAGAAUGACGGUAGCAAAGAUAAGAUGAUCCCUCGUUAAAUUUCAAGAUAAGUAUUCCCCUAAGUGUGCACCGUUGUGAAGGAUCGUUGUCUUGAAGCACCAUGUGAUGGUCGGGUGUGAUAGAUUCUAACGUUCGCAUACAAUGGGUGUAAGCCAGAUUUACACACACAAAACACUUAGGUUGACUUGACGAGCCUAGCAUGUACAGGAAUGGCCUCAGAAUACGAGAGACCAAAAGGUCGAACAUGAGUCGUAUGGAUGAUACGAUCAACAUGGAGAUGUUCACCAUUGAUGACUAGUCUGUCUCACGUGAUGAUCGGACACGGGCUAGUCGACAUGGAUCAUGUAUCACUUAGAUGACUAGAGGGAUGUCAAUCUAAGUGCGAGUUCAUUAAAUAAUUUGAUUAGAUGAACUUAAUUAUCAUGAACUUAGUCUAACAAUGUCUUUACAGUAUUGUAGAUCCAAUGGCCAAUGCUCCUGUCAACCUCAAUUUCAACACGUUCCUAGAGAAAACCAAGCUGAAAGACGAUGGUAGAAACUAUGUGGACUGAGCUCGUAACUUAAAGCUCAUCCUCAUUGCUUCCAAGAAGGCAUAUGUCCUUGAUGCGUCGCUAGGUGACCCUCCCGUUCCCACGGCAGCCCAGGACGUUCAUAACGCGUGGCAGUCACGAAGUGAUGACUACUCUCUGGUUCAUUGUGGCAUGCUAUACAGUUUAGAACCGGGGCUCAAAAAACGUUUUGAGCAACCUGGAGCAUAUGACAUGUUCGAGGAGCUGAAAUUGGUUUUCCAAGAUCAUGCCCAGAUCAAGAGAUAUGAGGUCUCCGACUAGUUCCUCAGCUGUAAGAUGGAGGAAAAUAGUUCUGUCAGUGAGCACAUACCCAGAAUGUGUGGGUUGCACAACCGUCUGUCUCAGCUGGAAGUUAAUCUUCCGGAUGACGCGGUUAUUGACAGAAUCCUCCAGUCGCUUCCACAUAGCUACAAGAGGUUCGUGAUGAAUUAUAACAUGCAAGGGAUGGAAAAGAACAUUCCCGAGUUAUAUUCAAUGCUGAGAUCAGCGGAGGUGGAAAUCAAGAAGGAACAUCAAGUGUUGAUGGUGAAUAAGACCACUAGUUUAAUAAAAGGCAAGGGUAAAAAGAACUUCAAGAAGGACGGCAAAGAAGUUGCCACGCCCGGUAAAAAGGUUUCCUGGAAGAAGCGCAAGAAUGUCGCAAGCCUGAGACUGAGUGUUGUCAUUGCAAGGGAGCCAGUCACUGGAAGCGAAACUACCCCAAAUACUUAGCGGAUAAGAAGGCCGGAAAUGUCAAAGGUAUAUAUGAUGUACAUGUUAUUGAUGUGUACCUUACCAGCACUCGUAGUAGCUCCUAGGUAUUUGAUACCGGUGUUGUUGCUCACAUUUGCAACUGAAAAACAGGAACUGCAGAAUAAGCAGAGACUGGCAAAGGGCAAUGUGACGAUGCUCGUGGGAAUGGUUCCAAGGUCGAUGUGAUCGUCGUCGGCACGCUACCUCUACAUCUACCUUCGGGAUUAGUUUUAAACCUUAAUAAUUGUUAUUUAGUACUAGCUUUGAGCAUGAACAUUGUAUCUGAAUCUCGUUUGAUGCGAGAUGGCUACUCAUUUAAAUCUUAGAAUAAUGGUUGUUCUAUUUAUAUGAGUGAUAUGUUUUAUGGUCAUGUCCAUCUGGUCAAAGUUUAUUCUUAAUGAAUCUCGAACGUGAUGUUAUGCAUAUUCAUAGUGUGAGUACUAAAAGAUGCAAAAUUAAUAAUGAUAGUCCCACAUACUUGUGGCAUUGCCUCCCUGGUCAUAUCGGCGUCAAACGCAUGAAGAAACUCCAUGCUGACGGACUUUUGGAGUCUCUUGAUAAUGAAUCAUUUGACACGUGCAAGCUGUGCCUCAUGGGUAAGAUGACUAAGACUCUGUUCUCCGGAACAAUGGAGCGAGCAACCAACUUGUUGGAAAUAAUACAUAGCGAUGUAUGCGAUCCAAUGAGCGUUGAGGCUUGCGGUGGCUACCGUUAUGUUCUCACCCUCACUAAUGACUUAAGCAGAUAUGGGUAUGUCUACGUAAUGAAACACAAGUCUGAAACCUUUGAAAGGUUCAAGGAAUUUCAGAGUGAGGUUGAAAAUCAACGUGACAAGAAAAUAAAGUGCCUACGAUCUGAUCAUGGAGGAGAAUAUUUGAGUCACGAGUUUGGCACACACUUAAGAAAAUGUGGAAUUGUUUCACAACUCAUGCUGCCUGGCACACCUCAGUGUAAUGGUGUGUCUGAGCGUCGUAAUCGCACUCUAUUGGAUAUGGUGUAAUCUAUGAUGUCUAUUACUGAUUUAUCGCUAUCAUUUUGGGGAUACGCAUUGGAAACUUCCGCAUUCACUUUAAAUAGGGCACCGUCUAAAUCCGUUGAGAUGACACUGUAUGAAUUAUGCUUUGGGAAGAAACCUAAGCUGUCGUUUCUGAAAGUUUGGGGCUAUGAUGCUUAUGUGAAGAAACUUCAACGUGAGAAGCUCAAACCCAAAGCGAAAAAUGCGUCUUCAUAGGAUACCCUAAGGAAACUAUUGCGUAUACCUUCUAUCUUAGAUUCGAAGGAAAAUCUUUGUUGCCAAGAACGGAUCCUUUCUAGAGAAAGAGUUUCUCUCAAAAGAAGUAAGUGGGAGGAAAAUAGAACUUGAUGAGGUAACUGAAAUCCCUCUUGAACUAGAAAGUAGCGCAGCGUGGGAAAUUGUUCCCGUGGUGCCUGCACCGACUAGAGAGGAAGUUAAUGACGAUGAUCAUGAAACUUCGGAUCAAGUUACUACUGAACCUCUAAGGUCCACAAGGAUAUGUUCCGCACCAGAGUGGUUCGACAACCCAGUCCUAGAAAUAAUGUUGUUAGACAACGGUGAACCUUCGAACUAUGAAGAAGCAAUGGUCGGCCCGGAUUCCAACAAAUGGCUUGAAGCCAUGAAAUUCGAGAUAGGAUCCAUGUAUGAGAACAAAGUAUGGACUUUUGUGGACUUGCCCAAUGAUCAGCAAUCCACAGAAAAUAAAUGGGUCUUUAAGAAGAAUACUGACGCAGAUGGUAAUGUGACCGUCUAUAAGGCUGAGCUUGUCGCUAAGGGUUACCGACAAGUUCAAGGAGUUGACUACGAUGAGACUUUCUCACCCAUAGCGAUGUUGAAGUUCGUCCGAAUCAUGUUAGCAAUUGCCGCAUUUUAUGAUUAUGAGAUCUAGCAAAUGGACGUCAAAACGACAUUCCUUAACAGUUUCCUUAAGGAAGAAUUGUAUAUGAUGCAUCCAGAAGGUUUUGUCGAUCCUAAGAGUGCUGACAAGGUAUGCGAGCUCCAACGCUCCAUCUAUGGGCUGGUGCAAGCAUCUCAAAGUUGGAACAUUCACUUUAAUGAGGUGAUUAAAUCGUUCGGGUUUAUGCAGACUUAUUGAAAAGCCUGCAUUUACAAGAAAGUGAGUGGGAGCUCUGUAGCAUUCCUCAUUUUAUAUGUGGACGACAUAUUGCCGAUGGAAAAUGAUAUAGAACUUUUGGAAAGCGUAAAAGCCUACUUGAAUAAGUAUUUUUCAAUGAAGGACCUUGGGGAAGCUGCUUACAUAUUAGGCAUCAAGAUCUAUAUAGAUAGAUCGAGAUGCCUCAUAGGUCUUUCACAAAACACAUACCUUGACAAGAUAUUGAAGAAGUUCAAUAUGGAUAAGUCUAAGAAGGUGUUAUUGCAUGUAUAGCAAGGUAUGAGAUUGAGUAAGACUCAAUGCCCGACCAAAGCACAAGAUAGAGAAAAGAUGAGUAACAUCCCCUAUGCUUCAGUCGUAGGCUCUAUUAUGUAUGCCAUAGUGUGUACCAGACCUGAUGUGAACCUUGCCAUGAGUUUGGUAGGGAGGUACCAAAGUGAUCCUGGUAUGGAACGCUGGACAACGGUCAAUAAUAUCCUAAAGUACCUGAAAAGGACUAAAGAUAUGUUUCUCGUUUAUGGAGGUGCCGAAGAGCUCGUCGUAAAGGGUUACGCCGAUGAUAGCUUCGACAGAGAUCCGGAUGACUCCAAGUCACAAAUCGGAUACGUGUAUGUUUUGAAUGGUGGGGUAGUCAGCUGGUGCACUUUUAAGCAAGGCGUCGUGGCGGCAUCUACAUGUGAAGCAGAGUACAUAGCUGCUGCAGAAGCAGCGCAUGAAGGGAUCUGGAUGAAGGACUUCAUCACUGACCUAGGAGUAAUUCCCAGUGCGUCGGGCCCGAUGACUCUCUUGUGUGAUAACACUGGAGCUAUUGUCAUAGCCAAGGAGCCCAAGCACAUCAAGCGCUGCUUCAACUCCAUCCGUGAUUACAUUCAGGAAGGAGAUAUAGAUAUUUGUAAAGUACAUGCAGAUCUGAAUGUUGUAGAUCUUUUGAGUAAACCUCUUCCGCGAGCGAAACAUGAUCAACACCAGAACUCUACGGGUGUUCGUUUCAUCACAAUGUAACUAGAUUAUUGACUCCAGUGCAAGUGGGGGACUGUUGGAAAUAUGCCCUAGAGGCAAUAAUAAAGUGGUUAUUAUUAUAUUUCCUUGUUCAUAAUAAUUGUCUAUUGUUCAUGCUACAAUUGUAUUAAGAGGAAACAGUAAUACAUGUGUGAAUAUAUAGACCACACCAAGUCCCUAGUGAGCCUCUAGUUGACUAGAUGGUGGAUCAAUAGAUGGUCAUGGUUUCCUGCUCAUGGACAUUGGAUGUCAUUGAUAAUGGGAUCACAUCAUUAGGAGAAUGAUGUGAUGGACAAGACACAAUCCUAAGCAUAGCACAAGAUCGUGUAGUUUGUCUCCUAAAGCUUUUCUAAUGUCAAUUAUCAUUUCCUUAGACCAUGAGAUUGUGCAACUCCCAGAUACCGUAGGAGUGCUUUGGGUGUAUCAAAAGUCACAACGUAACUGGGUGAUUAUAAAGGUGCACUACAGGUAUCUCCGAAAGUGUCUGUUGGGUGGGCACGAAUCGAGACUGGGAUUUGUGACUCCGUAUGACGGAGAGGUAUCUCUGGGAUCACUCGGUAAUACACCAUCCUGUUGAGCUCAAUGUGACUAAGGAGUUAGUCACACGAUCAUGUGUUACAGAACGAGUAAAAGACUUGCGAGUAACGAUAUUGAACAAGGUAUGAGGAUACCGACGAUAGGGUCUCGGGCAAGUUAUAUACCGAUAGACAAAGGGAAUUGCAUACGGGAUUGAUUGAAUCCCCGACAUCGUGGUUCAUCCGAUGAGAUCAUCGUGGAACAUGUGGGAGACAAUAUGGAUAUCCAGAUCCCCCUGUUGGUUAUUAACCGGAGAGGUGUCUCGGUCAUGUCUGCAUGGUUCCCGAACCCGUAGGGUCUACACACUUAAGGUUCGAUGACGCUAGAAUUGUAAUGAGAAUAGUAUGUGGUUACCGAAAGUUGUUCAGAGUCCCGGGUGAGAUCCCGGAUGUCACGAGGAGCUCCGGAAUGGUCCGGAGGUAAAGAUUCAUAUAUAGGAAGUGGAUAUUAGAUCACCGGAAAUGUUUCAAGGAUCAUCUGUAUUGUACUGGGACCACCAUAAGGGUUUCGAGGGUCCACCGGGAGGGGCCACCAGCCCCGGAGAGCCACGUAGGCCAAAAGUGGAAGGGAACCAGCCGCUAGAUGGGUUGGUGCGCCACCCACCAAGGCCCAAGGCGCCUAGGGCUGGUUACCCUAGGGCGUGGAGGUGGCCCACCUCCAACUUGGGAGGCAAGCCACCUCCCACCUGGCAACCGUCCCCUGCUUGGGCCACCGCCCCUCCCAUAUGGGUGGCCGCCGCCCCUCCUAGGGUUUCCUAGGGUGGCCGGCCUGCCCUUCCCCUCCUCCUAUAUAUAUCCAAUGGUUUUGGGGCUGCAACAUGCAAGUUUUCACUCCCUCUCGGCGCAGCCCUACCCUCUCUCUCCAUCCUCCUCCGCGGUGCUUGGCGAAGCCCUGUCGGAGAACCACAUAGCUCCACCGCCACCACACCGUCGUGCUGCCGGAGCUCUCCACCAACUUCCCCUCUCCGCUUUCUGGUUCAAGGUAGACGAGACGUCACCGGGAUGCACGUGUGUUGAACAUGGAGGCACCGUUUGUCGGCCCUUUGGAUCACAUCUACUGCGAUCUGAAUCGCUACGAGUACGACUCCAUCACCCGCGUUCAUAGUAACGCUUCCGCUUAGCAAUCUUCAAAAGUAUGAAGAUCAUCUACCCCUUGCUCGUUGCUAGCAUUUCCUAGAUUGAUCUUGGUGUUUCGUAGGAAUUUUUUUGAAUUUCUCCCUCGAGCCCCAACAGUUCCUCCAUCAUCGUGUCUUCUUCUAUUAGUUUGAAUUUUCUAGCGCAUGAACUACCAAGUGAAUUUUCCUAGCUCCGAUGGUUGCGCCACUGAGGAUGCUAUCAGCGAAAAUAAAGGCAAUUUGUACUGGGACGUCUUGGCCGAGCUGCAGGACCUCCGCCUCGACGAGCUGUAGAAUCUCCACCUCGCUCUGGUUUUUGUGGUACGGGCCCUUCCCCACUCCAUCAAAUAGUGACUUAUAUUUUGUUCUGCUUUGUUCUUAGACAAGUGUGGUAAAUUGUAUGGUAAAGUGUGGCAUCUACUACCCCUAUAAAGCACGAAGAGACAGAUCCAAAUCCUCAACUCAGCCAUUUGAUUACAUCAUCAAUGAUCAAAAAUCAUUGUUAACGAAAUUCAUCCCAUCGCUAACGAAGAUAAUCCCAUCGCUGAGGAAACCCACCCCCACUUCAAUGCUCAAGAACCGCUCGCAAACUCAGCCACGCCGCCCGACCUCCCCACCCCCGAUGGUCGCUCGCCUCGUCCAGCCACCGGCCCCGCUCGGCCCACUUGCCCCCACUCGUCGCUCGCCUCGCGCCGUCGCCCUUGUCUCACACAGCCUCGUGCAGUCGCCGCCCCCGCCUCGUGCAGCCACCGCCACCACCUUGCGCAGCCUCACGCCGUCCUCUCUGCUCACCCGGACAAGCGGGACAAGGGCACCGUUCAAGGAGAGGACAGGGGCGAUCGCGGUGAACCCUCCGUUCAUGGUACUGUAACGUCCAAGAUGUGGCACUAUCCAUAUUUGGGGAUUAGGUCUUAAUAUGGAUAGAGGCACAUCUUAGCGUUUCGCAAGUACAUAAAUCACCGCAAUACAUUUAUGAAGAGAAGAGUAUAUUGAUUAGCUUACACUCGCCACAAGUUAAGUUACAAGCCACACAACAUUAGUUCAAUCAUCCUAAGACCGGGUCCGGCUACAGACAAGAUAAAUGAUAAAAUGCAAUGACUCUGCCUCGUUAGUCUAGGAAACGAGCAAGGUCCUCUAAUCAUCGGGGUACAUUACGUACAAGCGCCCACUGCCUUCAUCGAAAUCCCAUUGAAGAUCGAUAACCCACAAGUAUAGGGGAUCGCAACAGUUUUCGAGGGUAGAGUAUUCAACCCAAAUUUAUUGAUUCAACUCAAGGGGAAGCGAAAGAAUAUUCUCAAGUAUUAGCAGUUGAGCUGUCAAUUCAACGACACCUAAAAGAUUUAGUAUCAGUAGCAAAGUAGGGUGAUAGCAGCAGUAGCAACAGUAACCAGUAGCAGCAAAGUAACAACAGUAGGAACAGAGUAACAACAGCAGCAGUCACAGCAGUAGCGGCAAAGUAACGUAGCAAGGACCAGUAGAAAAAGACUCGUAGGCAUUGGAUCAGUGAUGGAUGAUUAUGCCGGAUGUGAUUGAUCAUGCAACAGUUAUAACACGGAGAGAUAAGUAAAUAGCUCCAGUUCGUCAAUCUAAUGUAGGCAUGUAUUCCGCAUGUAGUCAUACGUGCUUAGGGAAAAUAACUUGCAUGACAUCUAUUGUCCAUCCCUCCCAUGGCAGCGGGGUCCUAAUGGAAACUACAGGAUAUUAAGGUUCUCCUUUGAAUAAAGAACCGGACCAAUGCAUUAACACUUGGUGAAUACAUGAACUCCUCAUACUAUGGUCAUCUCCGGGAGUGGUUCCGGCUAUUGUCACUCCGGGGUUGCAGGGUCAUAACACAUAGUAGGUGACUACAACUUGCAAGAUAGGAUCUAAAACACACAUAUAUUGGCGACAACAUAAUAGGUUCAGAUCUGAAAUCAUGGCACUCGAGCCCUAGUGACAAGCAUUAAGCAUGGCAAAGUAGUAGCAACAUCAAUCUCAGAACAUAGUGGAUACUAGGGAUCAAUUCCCGUCAAAACUAACUCGAUUACAUGAUAGAUCUCAUCCAACCCAUCACCGUCUAGAAAGCCUACGAAUAGAUUACUCACGAACGGUGAAGAGCAUCAUGGAAUUGGCGAUGAAGGAAGGUUGGUGAUGACGAUGGCGUCAAAGUUUGUUUUCUUGUGCUAAUGAUAUCACGAGUUUCUGUUUAAGUUUUGUGUUGUGAAGUUUUCAAGUUUUGGGUGAUGAUCUCAUGGACAAAGGGAUAAAGAGUGGAAAGAGCUCAAGCUUGGGGAUGCCCAAGGCAUCCCAAGCCAAAUUCAAGGACACCAAAAAGCCUAAGCUGGGGGAUGCCCCGGGAAGACAUCCCCUCUUUCGUCUCCAAUCCAUCGGUAAUAUUACUUGGAGCUAUAUUUUUAUUCACCACAUGAUAUGUGUUUUGCUUGGAGCGUCUUGUAUCAUAGGAGUCCUUUAUUUUUGUUGUGUCACAAUCAUCCUUGCUGCACACCUUUUGAGAGAGACAUGCACUCAUCGUGAAUUUUCUAGAAUACUCAUUGAGCUUCGCUUAUAUCUUUUGAGUUAGGCAAUUUAGCUCAUUGUGCUUCACUUAUAUCUUUUGAUCUAGAUAACUUUUCUCUUUGUGCUUCACUUAGAUCUUUUAGAGCACGGCGGUGUCAUAUUUUGGAGAAAUAAGAACUCUCGAUCUUCACUUAUAUCUUUUUGAGAGUGCUCUCUCUGAGUAACUUGGUAGUUGGCUUGUGUUAUGAAAGUAGUCCGAAAGAUGAUAGGCGCCCAAAGAGGAUACAAUAAAACUUCCAUAUUCAUGUGCAUUGAUUAGAAAGAGAAGUUUGAUUCCUCUCAAAUAGUUUUGAGACAUGGAUUUGGUAAUAUUAAGAGUUAUGCUAGUAGGGUGUUGUGAAUCUAGAAAUACUUGUGUUGAAGUUAGUGAUUCCCGUAACAUGCACGUAUGGUGGACCGCUAUGUUAGGAAGUCGGAGCAUAUUUGAUUUAUUGAUUGUCAUCCUUUGUGUUGCGGUCGGGAUUGCGCGAUGGUUAACACCUACCAACCCUUCCCCUAGGAGUAUGCGUUUAGCACUUUGUUUCGAUUACUAAUAAAAACUUUCGCAAUAAGUAUGUGAGUUCUUCAUGACUAAUGUGAGUCCAUGGUAUAGAUACACUUUCACCUUCCACCAUUGCUAGCCUCUCUAGUGCCGUGCAACUUUCGUCGGUACACAAAACCACAAUAUGCCUUCCUCAAAACAACCACCAUACCUACCUACUAUGGCAUUUUCAUAGCCAUUCCGAGAUAUAUUGCCAUGCAACUCCCACCGUUCGGUCUCAUGACUUGUGUCGUNNNNNNNNNNNNNNNNNNNNNNNNNNNNNNNNNNNNNNNNNNNNNNNNNNNNNNNNNNNNNNNNNNNNNNNNNNNNNNNNNNNNNNNNNNNNNNNNNNNNGUGAUCUCAUCCGGGACUCCGAACAACAUUCGGUAACCAACCAUAUAACUCAAAUACGCAUAAAACAACGUCGAACCUUAAGUGUGCAGACCCUGCGGGUUCGAGAACUAUGUAGACAUGACCCGAGUGACUCCUCGGUCAAUAUCCAAUAGCGGGACCUGGAUGCCCAUAUUGGAUCCUACAUAUUCUACGAAGAUCUUAUCGUUUGAACUUCAGUGCCAAGGAUUCAUAUAAUCCCGUAUGUCAUUCCCUUUGUCCUUCGGUAUGUUACUUGCCCGAGAUUCGAUCGUCAGUAUCCGCAUACCUAUUUCAAUCUCGUUUANCCGGCAAGUCUCUUUACUCAUUCCGUAAUACAAGAUCCCGCAACUUACACUAAGUCACAUUGCUUGCAAGGCUUGUGUGUGAUGUUGUAUUACCGAGUGGGCCCCGAGAUGCCUCUCCGUCACACGGAGUGACAAAUUCCAGUCUCGAUCCAUACUAACUCAACGAACACCUUCGAAGAUACCUGUAGAGCAUCUUUAUAGUCACCCAGUUACGUUGCGACGUUUGAUACACACAAAGCAUUCCUCNNNNNNNNNNNNNNNNNNNNNNNNNNNNNNNNNNNNNNNNNNNNNNNNNNNNNNNNNNNNNNNNNNNNNNNNNNNNNNNNNNNNNNNNNNNNNNNNNNNNACGGUGCCCUAUUUAAAGUGAAUGCUGCAGUUUCUAAUGCGUAUCCCCAAAAUGAUAGCGGUAAGUCGGUAAGAGACAUCAUAGAUCGUACCAUAUCUAAUAAAGUGCGAUUAUGACAUUCACACACCCCAUUACGUUGCGGUGUGCCAAGCGGCGUCAGUUGUGAAACGAUUCCACACUUCCUUAGGUGUGUGCCAAACUCGUGACUCAAAUAUUCUCCUCCACAAUCAGAUCGUAGACAUUUAAUUUUUUCUGUCACGUUGAUUCUCAACCUCACUCUGAAAUUCCUUGAACUUUUCAAACGUCUCAGAUUUGUGCUUCAUCAAGUAGAUAUACCCAUACCUACUCAAAUCAUCGGUGAGAGUGAGAACAUAACGAUAACCACCGCGAGCUUCAACGUUCAUUGGACCACACACAUCAGUAUGUAUUAUUUCCAAUAAGUCGGUUGCUCUCUCCAUUAUUCCUGAGAAUGGAGUCUUAGUCAUCUUGCCCAUGAGGCACAGUUCGCAUGUGUAAAAUGAUUCAAAGUCAAGAGACUCUAAUAGUCCAUCAAUAUGGAGCUUCUUCAUGCGCUUAACGCCGAUAUGACCAAGGCGGCAGUGCCACAAGUAUGUGGGACUGUCAUUAUCAACUUUACAUCUUUUGGUACUCACACUAUGAAUAUGUGUAACAUCACGAUCGAGAUUCAUCAAGAAUAAACCAUUCANNNNNNNNNNNNNNNNNNNNNNNNNNNNNNNNNNNNNNNNNNNNNNNNNNNNNNNNNNNNNNNNNNNNNNNNNNNNNNNNNNNNNNNNNNNNNNNNNNNNAGGUUGACUCGACGAGCUUAGCAUGUACAGACAUGACCUCGAAUACAAGAGACCGAAAGGUCGAACAUGAGUCGUAUGGUUGAAUACGAUCAGCAUGAAGUUGCUCACCAUGGUGACUAGUCCGUCUCACGUGAUGAUCGGACACGGGUUAGUCAACAUGGAUCAUGUAUCACUUAGAUGACUAGAGGGAUGUCGAUUUAAGUGGGAGUUCAUACUUAAUUUGAUUAAAUGAAAUUAAUUGUCAUGAACUUAGUCUAAAAGUUGUCUUUAUAAAUAUUGUAGAUGUCCAACGUCAACCUCAAUUUCAACGCAUUCCUAGAGAAAAACAAGCUGAAAGAUGAUGGUAGCAACUAUGCGGACUGGGUUUGCAACUUGAAGCUCAUCCUCGAAGCAGCUAAAAAGGCUUAUGUCCUUAAUGCGCCGCUAGGUGACCCUCCCGCUCCCGCAGCAGCCCAGGACAUUCUGAACGUCUGGCAAACGCGGAGUGAUGACUACUCUCUGGUCAGGUGUGGCAUGUUAUACAGUUUAGAAACGGGGCUCCAAAGGCGUUUUGAGCAACAUGGGGCAUAUGAGAUGUUCCAGGAGCUACAGCUAGUUUUUCAAGCUCAUGCCCGUGUCGAGAGAUAUGAAGUCUCCGACAAGUUCUUCAGCUGUAAGAUGGAGGAGAACAGUUCUGUCAGUGAGCACAUACUCAAAAUGUCUGGGUUACACGGUCGUCUGACUUCACUUGGAGUCGAACUUCCGGAUGAUGCUAUUAUUGACAGAAUCCUCCAGUCUCUCCCACCAAGCUACAAAGGCUUUGUGCUUAACUACAAUAUGCAAGGGAUGGAGAAGACCAUUCCCGAGUUGUACUCGCUGCUCAACUCUGCAGAAGUAGAAAUCAAGAAAGAGCAUCAAGUCUUGAUGGUCAACAAGACCACUAGUUUCAAGAAAGGCAAGGGUAAGAAGAACUUCAAGAAAGACGGCCAAGCUGUUGCCGCGCCCGGUAAGCCAGAUGCCGGGAAGAAGAAAAAGAACGGACCCAAGCCUGAGACUGAGUGCUUCUAUUGCAAGGGAAAGGGUCACUNNNNNNNNNNNNNNNNNNNNNNNNNNNNNNNNNNNNNNNNNNNNNNNNNNNNNNNNNNNNNNNNNNNNNNNNNNNNNNNNNNNNNNNNNNNNNNNNNNNNUCUCUCCUACUCUAGUCGGAUUGGAUUUGAUGAAAAGGGUCCUUAUGAAGGGUAAAUAGCUUUGGCAUAUAAUCGUUGUGGCUGUCACGUAGGUAAGAAGGCGUUCUUGCUAGAAACCCAAAUCAGCCACGUAAAACUUGCAACAACAAUUAGAGGACGUCUAACUUGUUUUUGCAGGGUUUGACAUGUGAUGUGAUAUGGCCAAAGUUGUGAUGUUGCAUGUAUAAUGUAUGAGAUGAUCAUGUUAUUGUAAUAGGUUUCACGACUUGCAUGUCGAUGAGUAUGACAACCGGCAGGAGCCAUAGGAGUUGUCUUAAUUUAUUGUAUGAGAUGCAACGCCAUGUGCUUACUACUUUUACUUCAUUGCUAACAGUUAGCUAUAGUAGUAGUGAUAGUAGUAGUUGGCGUGACGACAUCACAGAGACACGAUGAUGGAGAUCAUGAUGAUGGAGAUCAUGGUGUCACGCUGGUGACGAUGAUGAUCAUGCGAUGCCUGAAGAUGGAGAUCGAAAGAGCAAAGAUGAUAAUGGCCAUAUCAUGUCACUAUAUGAUUGCAUUGUGAUGUUUAUCAUGUUUUACAUCUUAUUGCUUAAAACGACGGUAGCAUAAUAAGAUGAUCCCUCUUAAAAUUUCAAGAACGUAUUCCCCUAAGUGUGCACCGUUGCGAAGGUUCAUUGUCUCGAAGCACCACGUGAUGAUCGGGUGUGAUAGAUUCUAACAUUCGCAUACAACCGGUGUAAGCCAGAUUUACACACGCGAAACACCUAGGUUGACUCGACGAGCUUAGCAUGUACAGACAUGACCUCGAAUACAAGAGACCGAAAGGUCGAACAUGACUCGUAUGGUUGAAUACGAUCAGCAUGCAGUUGCUCACCAUGGUGACUAGUCCGUCUCACGUGAUGAUCGGACACGGGUUAGUCAACAUGGAUCAUGUAUCACUUAGAUGACUAGAGGGAUGUCGAUUUAAGUGGGAGUUCAUACUUAAUUUGAUUAAAUGAAAUUAAUUGUCAUGAACUUAGUCUAAAAGUUGUCUUUAUAAAUAUUGUAGAUGUCCAACGUCAACCUCAAUUUCAACGCAUUCCUAGAGAAAAACAAGCUGAAAGAUGAUGGUAGCAACUAUGCGGACUGGGUUNNNNNNNNNNNNNNNNNNNNNNNNNNNNNNNNNNNNNNNNNNNNNNNNNNNNNNNNNNNNNNNNNNNNNNNNNNNNNNNNNNNNNNNNNNNNNNNNNNNNAAUACCCAGGAGCUACUACGAGCGCUGGUAAGGUACACAUCAAUAACAUGUAUAUCACAUAUACCUUUAACGUUGCCGGCCUUCUUGUCCGCUAAGUAUUUGGGGCAGUUCCGCUUCCAGUGACCCUUUCCCUUGCAAUAGAAGCACUCAGUCUCAGGCUUGGGUCCGUUCUUUUUCUUCUUCCCGGCAUCUGGCUUACCGGGCGCGGCAACAGCUUGGCCGUCUUUCUUGAAGUUCUUCUUACCCUUGCCUUUCUUGAAACUAGUGGUCUUGUUGACCAUCAAAACUUGAUGCUCUUUCUUGAUUUCUACUUCUGCAGAAUUGAGCACCGAGUACAACUCGGGAAUGGUCUUCUCCAUCCCUUGCAUGUUGUAGUUAAGCACAAAGCCUUUGUAGCUUGGUGGGAGAGACUGGAGGAUUCUGUCAAUUAUAGCAUCAUCCGGAAGUUCGACUCCAAGUGAAGUCAGACGACCGUGUAACCCAGACAUUUUGAGUAUGUGCUCACUGACAGAACUGUUCUCUUCCAUCUUACAGCUAAAGAACUUGUCGGAGACUUCAUAUCUCUCGGCACGGGCAUGAGCUUGAAAAACUAGCUUCAUCUCCUGGAACAUCUCAUAUGCCUCAUGUUGCUCAAAACGCCUUUGGAGCCCCGUUUCUAAACUGUAUAACAUGCUACACCUAACCAGAGAGUAGUCAUCACUCCGCGUUUUCCAGACGUUCAGAAUGUCCUGGGCUGCUGCGGGAGCGGGAGGGUCACCUAGCGGCGCAUCAAGGACAUAAGCCUUUUUAGCUGCUUCAAGGACGAGCUUCAAGUUGCGAACCCAGUCCGCAUAGUUGCUACCAUCAUCUUUCAGCUUGUUUUUCUCUAGGAAUGCGUUGAAAUUGAGGUUGACGUUGGACAUCUACAAUAUUUAUAAAGACAACUUUUAGACUAAGUUCAUGACAAUUAAGUUCAUUUAAUCAAAUUAAAUAUGAACUCCCACUUAAAUCGACAUCCCUCUAGUCAUCUAAGUGAUACAUGAUCCAUGUUGACUAACCCGUGUCCGAUCAUCACGUGAGACGGACUAGUCACCAUGGUGAGCAACUCCAUGCUGAUCGUAUUCAACCAUACGAAUCAUGUUCGACCUUUCGGUCUCUUGUAUUCGAGGUCAUGUCUGUACAUGCUAAGCUCGUCGAGUCAACCUNNNNNNNNNNNNNNNNNNNNNNNNNNNNNNNNNNNNNNNNNNNNNNNNNNNNNNNNNNNNNNNNNNNNNNNNNNNNNNNNNNNNNNNNNNNNNNNNNNNNGCGGAGACUGGCCAAGGACGAGGUGACGAUGCGCGUCGGGAAUGGUUCAAAGGUCGAUGUGAUCGCCGUCAGCACGCUGCCUCUACAUCUACCGUCGGGAUUAGUUUUAAACCUUAAUAAUUGUUAUUUAGUACCAGCUUUAAGCAUGAACAUUGUAUCAGGGUCUUGCUUAAUGCGAGACGGCUACUCAUUUAAGUCAGAGAAUAAUGGUUGUUCUAUUUAUAUGAGUGAUAUGUUUUAUGGUCAUGCUCCGCUGGUGAAUGGUUUAUUCUUGAUGAAUCUCGAUCGUGAUGUUACACAUAUUCAUAGUGUGAGUACCAAAAGAUGCAAAGUUGAUAAUGAUACUCCCACAUACUUGUGGCACUGCCGCCUUGGUCAUAUCGGCGUUAAGCGCAUGAAGAAGCUCCAUACUGAUGGACUAUUAGAGUCUCUUGACUUUGAAUCAUUUGACACAUGCGAACCGUGCCUCAUGGGCAAGAUGACUAAGACUCCAUUCUCAGGAAUAAUGGAGAGAGCAACCGACUUAUUGGAAAUAAUACAUAUUGAUGUGUGUGGUCCAAUGAACGUUGAAGCUCGCGGUGGUUAUCGUUAUGUUCUCACUCUCACCGAUGAUUUGAGUAGGUAUGGGUAUAUCUACUUGAUGAAGCACAAAUCUGAGACGUUUGAAAAGUUCAAGGAAUUUCAGAGUGAGGUUGAGAAUCAACGUGACAGAAAAAUUAAAUGUCUACGAUCUGAUCGUGGAGGAGAAUAUUUGAGUCACGAGUUUGGCACACACCUAAGGAAGUGUGGAAUCGUUUCACAACUGACGCCGCCUGGCACACCGCAGCGCAACGGAGUGUCUGAACGUCGUAAUCGCACUUUAUUAGAUAUGGUACGAUCUAUGAUGUCUCUCACCGACUUACCGCUAUCAUUUUGGGGAUACGCAUUAGAAACUGCAGCAUUCACUUUAAAUAGGGCACCGUCUAAAUCCGUUGAGACGACACCGUAUGAACUAUGGUUUGGCAAGAAACCUAAGUUGUCGUUUCUUAAAGUUUGGGGCUGCGAUGCUUAUGUGAAGAAACUUCAACUAGAAAAGCUCCAACCCAAAGAGGAGAAAUGCGUAUUCAUAGGAUACCCUAAGGAAACUAUUGGGUAUACCUUCUAUCUUAGAUCCGAAGGUAAAACCUUUGUUGCCAAGAACGGAUCCUUUCUAGAGAAAGAGUUUCUCUCGAAAGAAGUAAGUGGGAGGAAGGUAAAACUUGAUGAGGUAAUUGCACCCCCUCUCGAACAGGAAAGUAGCGCAGCGCGGGAAGUUGUUCCUGUGGCGCCUAUACCGAAUGAAGAGGAAGUUAAUGAUGAUGAUCAUGAAGCUUCGGAUCAAGUUACUACUGAACCGCGAAGGUCCACAAGGGCACGCUCCGCACCAGAGUGGUACGGCAACCCUGUGAUGGAAAUCAUGUUGUUAGACAAUGGUGAGCCUUCGAACUAUGAAGAAGCAAUGGCGGGCCCGGAUUCCAACAAAUGGCUUGAGGCUAUGAAAUCCGAGAUAGGAUCCAUGUAUGAGAACAAAGUAUGGACUUUGGUGGACUUGCCCGAUGACCGGCGAGCCAUAGAAAAUAAAUGGAUCUUCAAGAAGAAGACUGAUGCAAACGGUAAUGUAACCGUUUACAAAGCUCGACUUGUCGCAAAGGGUUUUCGACAAAUUCAAGGAGUUGACUACGAAGAGGCUUUCUCUCCCGUAGCGAAGCUGAAAUCAGUUCGAAUCAUGUUAGCAAUUGCCGCCUUUUAUGAUUAUGAAAUUUGGGAAAUGGACGUCAAAACAGCGUUCCUUAACGGGAACCUUAAGGAAGAGUUGUAUAUGAUGCAACCAGAAGGUUUUGUCGACCCUAAGGGUGCUAACAAAGUGUGCAAGCUCCAGCGCUCCAUCUAUGGGCUGGUGCAAGCAUCUCGGAGUUGGAACAUUCGCUUUAAUGAGGUAAUUAAAGCGUUUGGGUUCAUACAGGUUUACGGAGAAACCUGUCUGUACAAGAAAGUGAGUGGGAGCUCUGUAGCUUUCCUCAUACUAUAUGUGGAUGACAUAUUAUUGAUGGGGAAUAAUAUAGAGAUGUUGGAGAGCAUAAAGGCCUAUUUGAACAAGAGUUUUUCAAUGAAGGACCUUGGAGAAGCUGCAUACAUAUUAGGCAUCAAGAUCUAUAGAGAUAGAUCGAGACGCCUCAUAGGUCUUUCGUAAAGUACAUACCUUGACAAGAUAUUGAAGAAGUUCAAUAUGGAAAACUCAAAGAAAGGGUCAUUGCCAGUUUUGCAAGGUAUGAGAUUGAGUAAGACUCAGUCGCCGACCACGGCAGUAGAUAGAGAGAAGAUGAGUUAUGUCCCCUACGCUUCAGCCGUGGGCUCUCUAAUGUAUGCCAUGUUGUGUACCAGACCUGAUAUAAACCUUGCCAUAAGUUUGGUAGGGAGGUACCAAAGUAAUCCCGGUACGGAACACUCGACAGCGGUCAAGAAUAUCCUUAAGUACCUGAAAAGGACUAAGGAAAUAUUUCUCGUUUAUGGAGGUGACGAAGAGCUCGUCGUAAAGGGUUACGUCGACGCUAGCUUCGACAUAGAUCCGGAUGACUCUAAGUCACAGACCGGAUACGUAUAUGUGUUGAAUGGUGGGGCAGUGAGCUGGUGCAACAGCAAGCAAGAAGUCGUGGCAGCAUCUACAUGUGAAGCGGAGUACAUAGCUGCUUCAGAAGCGGCUCAUGAAGGAAUUUGGAUGAAGGAGCUCAUCACUGACCUUGGAGUGGUUCCAAGCGCGUCGGGUCCCAUGACACUCUUCUGUGAUAACACUGGAGCCAUUGCCAUAGCCAAGGAGCCCAGGUUUCACUGAAAGACGAAGCACAUCAAGCGCCGCUACAACUCCAUCCAGGACCAUGUCCAGAGUGGAGUGAUAGAUAUUUGUAAAGUACACACGGAUCUGAAUAUUGCAGACCCGUUGACUAAACCUCUUCCACGAGCAAAACAUGAUCAACACCAUAAUGCUAUGGGUGUUCGAUACAUCACAAUGUAACUAGAUUAUUGACUCUAGUGCAAGUGGGAGACUGUUGGAAAUAUGCCCUAGAGGCAAUAAUAAAAUGGUUAUUAUCAUAUUUCCUCGUUCAUGAUAAUCGUCUAUUGUUCAUGCUAUAAUUGUAUUAACAGGAAACAGUAAUACAUGUGUGAAUAAAUAGAUCACAAUGUGUCCCUAGGAAGCCUCUAGUUGGCUAGCUCGUUAGUCAAUAGAUGAUCAUGGUUUCCUGAUCAUGGGCAUUAGAUGUCAUUGAUAACGGGAUCACAUCAGUGGGAGAAUGAUGUGAUGGACAAGACCCAAUCCUAAGCCUAGCACUAGAUCGUAUUGUUCGUAUGCUAAUGCUUUUCUAAUGUCAAGUAUCUUUUCCUUCGACCGUGAGAUUGUGCAACUCCCAGAUGCCGUAGGAGUGCUUUGGGUGUAUCAAACGUCACAACGUAACUGGGUGACUAUAAAGGUGCACUACGGGUAGGGGGGGGGGGGGGGGUUGGGUUGGUACGAAUCGAGAUCGGGAUUUGUCACUCCGUGUGACGGAGAGGUAUCUCUGGGCCCACUCGGUAGAACAUCAUCAUGAGCUCAAUGUGACUAAGGAGUUAGUCACACGAUGAUGUGCUACGGAACGAGUAAAGAGACUUACCGGUAACGAGAUUGAACAAGGUAUAGGUAUACCGACGAUCGAAUCUCGGGCAAGUUCUAUACCGACAGACANNNNNNNNNNNNNNNNNNNNNNNNNNNNNNNNNNNNNNNNNNNNNNNNNNNNNNNNNNNNNNNNNNNNNNNNNNNNNNNNNNNNNNNNNNNNNNNNNNNNGGGGGGGGGGGAGGGUGUUAGAUUUGUAUUGCCCCUUUUUUGUAUAUCCCCAUUAUAUAAGGGGUUUCUACCACUUUUACCAUAUGUAUAUAUAUUGGCCUUUGGCCCCUGUGAAUAUUUGCUCAUUAUCUAACAGAUCCAACACAAGGUUGGGUCGAAGCUAGUUUAUAUCUGGGACGUUACACCAACCUCUCAAGCCAAUCCAACAUUGCAGACAGAUUUAUGAUACACUUCCUUUUCACGAGCCCGAGGCAAUGUACCUAUGUCAAAAAAAGUAGGAGUUCGAGGCAAUGUACCUAAUACAAACUGUGAAGCCUUCCCACCUAGGCUAUACAUGAGGUCCUUGAGAUGCUCUAUAAGAUAUCGGUUAAAAGAGAAAACGUCCAAAAUAAGAGAAAUAUAACUAUAUUUUUUUUGUAUUUGUCGCUUCAAAGGAUCAGUAUGUUGGACAAGAAGAGAAGCACUGAAGUAGCAUCACUCAUCAUCAAGGUCAAAAUCGUUGUCCGAUGCGCACUCGAGAUAUGAACCAAUCGACUUGCGGAAGAUGAUGAAAGACUUGUCAUCCUGUGAAAAAAGAAUGCAUUAUUUUGCAGGAAGAGGUGUUUCAAGCCAUGGAACAAAAAAAACUGGCUGGUCAUUCAGCUUUAGGCCUGACGGGUAGCUAAAAAUGAAGUCUAAGAAAUGCAAGCAGUUGUGAAUUUUGCCACACCUGCUUCAUCCUUUUCAGUGAUGGUUUGGCAUUUGUUAUCUUAUCUGAUAAGGUGUCACCAUGUUCUGACAAUGUAGCCGUCUCCUCCCCUGUUUGAAGGAUUUGAGUGUAAGAGCAGCAUAUUUCCAUCCAAGGGAAAUAAUGAAUCCUCUAGCUACUUACUUUGAUAUUCAUACUGCUCAAGCAGUUUCUUUUUCUCAACUUCAAUUUGUGAGGAUAGAUCUGCAUAAUAGGACAUGUAACAAGUCAAAUAAGAGCCAAAUAUUUUUGCAGAUUCAAUGAGAUCUGAACGUCUUUUAUGGGAACAUCAUCCAAAUAAUGCUGAGUCGCUAAUAAGCAGUAGCCAAGCAAUGCAUAUUUAGAAACAACACACAUAAUUUGAAUACAAGUGUCAUGUAGAUUCUAUUUGCAUCAAAACCAGGUAUCUCAAUAUUUUUUCUAAAGAUAAGAAUCACAGCUCAUACGUAGUAGCCGAUUACACCAAAUGAGAAACAACCAUCACACGUCACAAUGCCCUAAAAUCCUAGAUAGACCUGGAUAGAAGCACAUGAUAUACUUGUGAAAAUGACAACCAGCUCUUAUUUGACAUACCUUUGAAGGUUUGUAAGUGUGCAUCAUUUUCUUCGCAGAACAUUUCAUAUGUUUCCUGAAGCUUGGUGUACUCUUCGUUCAAUGAACUUUCACACUGCUAAUAGUGCAAAUUACACGCCAUAAUUCAAUCUUAGGCAAAUCAGCAAGUAAGUCGACAAUUCCAAAGAAUUGUAAACUGUGUACCUCUUUCGAAGUGCUUGACAGUACUUUCAGCAAAUUCUGCCUGCACAUGCAAAUAUAACAGUGACACUACGUUCUAAAUAAAAACGAACAAGCUUCCUUUUCUGACAGAACUGGUUUCAGGCGUAAUUGUUCAUGCAGGCAUCGUUUCACAGUUCACAAGCAAGUGAGUUACCUUUCCUUCUCAAACUUGGACUUGGUAUCUUCAAGCAUAGUCUGAAUAUUGGCUGCAACACUGUCAGGUUUAGAAAAGUAAAGGAAUAAACAGGGUAAGAAGAAGGUAAAAGAAUAAUGAUCAGCAACAUUAUGCGCUUCAAACUUCACAGUUCAGUCAGCGGAGUCCCUGUUAGUCCACAUGUUAUAAUUUUCGGCUUCUUUUCCUCCCCGAUGCCUGUGUAAAUAAUUCUUUGUAAUAGUUCUGAGAAGUUUAUAGAAAUGUUCAGGCUGGCUUUGCCGGCCGUAGUUCUGAAAAUCAACUCACCCGAACAAAGCCACACCAUGACAUAAGUACAAAACAUGAAUCCGGGAACCCAUCAAAUUAAUAUGUCCAUUUUCCUCGCAUCACUCACAAUGCAUAUCGCUCCGCAUAAUAUACAAAAACUGACAUAUCACCGAACGAACCUAGUUCCUGCAUUAAUCACAGAAACAGCCGAGUGGACGCAUUGCAGGAUUGCAAACGUGCAACAUUUAUUUGUAUCCCUCCCAGUGACCAUGAACUGUAAGUUUUCCACACAAAUCCGCCAGCACGAAAUGCAUCAUAAGAAGCUGCUAGGAUAGCAUACGCCGAUCCCAAUUUUUUUGCACGCUAGCACAUAGCGAGAUAAGAGAAAAUUUAGAGGUGCAAGUGCAACCGAAAGAACACUGUUCUCCGCACCUGGCGAUGAUCUGCUCGCACAUCUUCUGGCCAGCCUUGUUGGUCCCGCCCUUGAUCAACCGCAGCAGGCACGCGAUCUGCCUCAAGUCGCUGCGCCCGCCACAAAAGUAGCCAUCACGGAGUUAAAGCGAGAAGGAAUUAGAAACGGGAGACACCGAAUCGAAGAGGAAAAGCUCGAAAUCAGAUGUGCGGCACCUGACGAAAUCGCCGUCAGAUUCCGAGCCGGAGCUGGAGCCGGAAUCGGAACCGGAGCCGAAAUCCACGGGGUGGCGCGGCCUCUUCGACGACCGCAGAGCCUCUUCACCCAGGGACAUCCUCCUUCCGCCGCCGGGACUCGCCGCGGGCCGCAUCGCUGGUCGACGAGCGUAGUGCAGCGCAAUUCGAAAUUUGGAGGGGGAGCGAGAGGGUAGUGAUGUAAUACUGGCAAAAUUUUGGUGGCCCACUCACAGUAUUGGCUUUUGUAAGGGAAAGUGUUCGUGCGCGCAAGGCUACGAGCAACUAGUUCCUCCUCUUGUAAUUUUUUUUUCCUUCGACGCGUCCGUUGAAGUGUUCGGCCGGUCGCGUUCCUUCCUCACGUUUUUCUUCCACCUUUUCCUUUUCCCCUCCCGCGCACACUCGGAUUUUUUCACUGUUUUAACCUUUUUUCUAAANNNNNNCACAAAAUGAACCAGAUUUGAAACCAUUUCACGAUCUGACCCUUUUAAAAACGCCACAAGCCGUGGCGUUGCUNNNNNNNNNNNNNNNNNNNNNNNNNNNNNNNNNNNNNNNNNNNNNNNNNNNNNNNNNNNNNNNNNNNNNNNNNNNNNNNNNNNNNNNNNNNNNNNNNNNNUGGACAAGAAUACAUGGAGUUACUCAAGCCAUUGAAUCAUUUGACUUUGUUUUCAAUCUUCACUUGAUGCUUGUUAUUCUUGGCUAUACAAAUGAGUUGUCCAAAUCUUUGCAAAAGAGAGAUCAAGAUACUAUUAAUGCAGUGGCACUUGUUAGUUUGGCAAAGAGUAGAAUGCGACACAUGAGGUGUCAUGGUUAGGAAGAAUUUCUUGCAAAGCUAACCCUAUUUUGCCAGAAACAUGACAUUCAAGUUCCUUUGUGGGAGGAUACUUAUGCAGGGGCAGAAUUAGCAUGGGUUCACGUCUAGGGCCAAAUUAGCUUCAGUGGUGUAUUUUAGAGAUUUUUUGUACUUAGUAAGUAGGUAUUACAAAGACUAUUGUCACUACACCUAGGGCUAUAGCCCCAUUUUCCCUAGGCCUGAUUCCAACAUUGUACUUAUGAGCAUCAUGGAAUAUCACGUUGGUAUAAUGAAGUUCAAACAAAUGAUGAUCGUUAUAAAAGAGAAGUAUAUCUUGGUGUCAUUGAUCAAACCAUUCUAUCCCAUGGACAUAUCAAGCACGGAUUUGAUAAGGCUAGAAUUUCAACUUGCUACUUUUAUUGAUGAUACGAGACAAGAUGAUAUUGGUGAGCUCUCUAUUUUACUUGUUGCAACAAAGAAUCAUAUUCUCUAUGAUUUGGUCUACUUACUCAUCAAAUUGAUAUUGAUUUUACCGAUGGCAACAACGAGUGUUGAAAGGGUAUUUUCUGCAAUGAAUCUAGUGAAAAAUAAAUUAAGGACUAGUAUGGGUGAUGAUCGUUUGGUGACAAUUAUUAAGCGAGAUGUGUUCAUGAAAGUAAAUGAAGAUGACAUAGUUGAUGCUUUCAUGACAAUGCAACGACGUAGAGUUACCUAGUGUUGUAAUUUUCUACUUCUGUUACUUUCAUGUAAGUCUUUUCUAUUGUAACUGGGCACAUUUGAAAUACAUUUUAUGUACUAAAUGGUUGUGAGAUUUCAAUUGAGCUAUUUAUGUUACUCAUUUGACAUAUUUUGAUACAUUUGGAUUAGGUAGGAAAAAAAUAGAGUGCGCAUGCCCUUUAUUUUAUUCCUGGGUACCCACACAAUGGAACGCAAAAAUAUCCAGCCGAGCGAGCAGUAAAUCCACCAUACGGGAUGUGCAUACUUAAUACUCCUACAUUGCAACAAAUAAUCGUGAAAAAAAAUGGAAAAAGAAACCAUAUGCGAUCAGGCACAUGACGAAGGAAGGGUCACAUGAAUGAAGAAGAGAGAAAAGCCACAUAUCGACCCGAAUAGCGAAGUGUGGGAGCCGCGAUGGCGGGCACUGGCAGCCAUACAUUGGGCUAUCCAAAAUCUCAUCUCUCGCCCAAUCCCGGCCUCACGAUCUCAAUUCUCACCCCGCGUGCACCACAAGCUCCAAUCCCCUAACUCGUAUAUACAGCCACGCCCGCCUCACCGUCCUUGAUCUUCCCCCCUAUCUGAUCGGAUCCUUUGGACAUGGCGUCGCCCAUGCUCUCCACGGCCAUGGCGCCACUCCAGGUAUUGCUCGUGUUCCAUUUCCAUUCCAUGCUUGCGUAGUAGUACAGUUCUUCCAUGUUUGUGACGCGCGGUGGUUAUGUAACUGGACUGCCAUGCAUCCUCUGUCGAUCCAGGGGGGCAUGCUGGAGUUCUCCGGGCUGAGGAGCUCGUCGUCGCUGCCGCUCCGGCGGAAUGCCACCUCCGACGACUUCAUGUCCGCCGUCUCCUUCAGGACAUACGCGGUAUGAUAUGAAUAUGAUGGGCGGAAUGUGGCUGUCACCUAGGAGUACGUAGCUCGCUUGGUCGCAUGCCAUGAGACAUGAGCGGCGCGUGGUACGGUGGUUGCAGGUGAGCACGAGCGGCGGGUCGCGGAAGGCGCCGACGGAGGCGAAGCUCAAGGUGGCGAUCAACGGGUUCGGGCGCAUCGGGCGCAACUUCCUGCGGUGCUGGCACGGGCGCGGCGACAGCUCGCCGCUGGAGGUGAUCGCCAUCAACGACACCGGAGGCGUGAAGCAGGCGUCCCACCUCCUCAAGUACGACUCCACGCUGGGCAUCUUCGACGCGGACGUCAAGCCCGUGGGCGACAACGCCAUCUCCGUCGACGGCAAGGUGAUCAAGGUCGUGUCCGACCGCAACCCCUCCAACCUGCCGUGGGGCGAGAUGGGCAUCGACCUCGUCAUCGAGGGCACCGGCGUCUUCGUCGACCGCGCCGGCGCGGGCAAGCAUCUCGAGGCCGGAGCCAAGAAGGUGCUCAUCACCGCGCCCGGCAAGGGCGACAUCCCCACCUACGUCUGCGGCGUCAACGCCGACCUCUACACCCACGCCGACACCAUCAUCAGCAACGCCUCAUGCACCACCAACUGCCUCGCCCCCUUCGUCAAGGUCCUCGACCAAAAGUUCGGUACGUGCCCGUCUCCCUCCCUCUCUCUCUCUCUCAACUGAAUCAACUUGUUGACGAUGACUAAUGGCGGCGGUGGCAAUGGCGCAGGCAUCAUCAAGGGAACCAUGACCACAACCCACUCGUACACCGGCGACCAGAGGCUGCUCGACGCGAGCCACCGCGACCUGCGCCGUGCCCGCGCCGCCGCCCUCAACAUAGUGCCGACCUCCACCGGCGCGGCCAAGGCCGUGGCGCUGGUGCUCCCCAACCUCAAGGGCAAGCUCAACGGGAUCGCGCUCCGGGUGCCCACCCCCAACGUGUCCGUCGUCGACCUCGUGGUGCAGGUCUCCAAGAAGACCCUCGCCGAGGAGGUGAACCAGGCGUUCCGCGACGCCGCCGCCAACGAGCUCAAGGGCAUCCUCGACGUCUGCGACGAGCCCCUCGUGUCCGUCGACUUCAGGUGCUCCGACGUCUCCUCCACCAUCGACGCGUCGCUCAGCAUGGUCAUGGGAGACGACAUGGUCAAGGUCAUUGCAUGGUACGACAACGAGUGGGGUUACUCCCAGAGGGUCGUCGACCUCGCCGACAUCGUCGCCAACCAAUGGAAGUGAACGCCCCCCCACAGCGGCAUUGCCCUGUCAAGUGACUCCUCUCGAAAUUUUCCCCAGCCGUCGUCACGGAUGAUCGAUUCUUUGUAAUGAGAAUUCAAAGUAUCGAGCUCCCAACACCUUCUUCCUUUUUCUUUCUUUUCUUCUUUUCUCUUU
rnacentral:lncRNA from 1 species